rnacentral:lncRNA from 1 species
UUUACCAAAGGUAUCUUCUUUAGAAUGAAUGCUUUUACGUAGAGACAUAGUUCUGUUAGAAUGCAUGAUUAUACUUCAUGUAGUGGUAGAGAUACCUUUUUAGUUUAAUGUAUGUACAUAAAAGCUGAAACUCUAAAAAGAAUGCCAUUUUAUAAAAAAUAUAUCAGAAAGCCCCAAUUCAUUGGAUGUAGAAGUCUGACAAGUGACAAAGUGAAGUCCACGUAGUCAUAUUCAAUAUAUCAGCUGGAUUGGUAAGUCUGGCUGUUACUAUGUUAACAAAAGAAGUUGUAAAUAUAAACAUCUAAACAGAAGGUGCUAAUUUUAGGUUGCACUGGGCAUGAGCCUGUGUUGGUCUUUCUUAUUGGAGUGGUCCCUAAAUCUGUGUAUCUUCUGUUGGACUGCAGCAACAGUUGCAACUAUGCCGUAAUAAUUUAUACAACAUGCCAUCUUGCCUAAACAAUGAAAAUGAAUUGCUGCAGCCUCCUGUGUCACCUACUUCCUGUAUGAAACAAUGAAACAGAUGAGCUUACUUCUGUGCACUUUAUUUUAGUGUGCAAGGUUGAUGCGCUUUAAAUUUUAAUUCUGCUAGAUGAAACAUCUGAUUUUUUGACUUUGUUUGAACACUAGAUUUUAUUUAAUUCCGCUUGUCUUACGCCGUGUGUACAAUGCAAUAUGCUUAGAGUGGUGCUUGUAAAAAUAAACAUGUUUAAGCUUAAGUACCGGCGCUUGUUUCCAUAGCAGAGGUGCCUAACUAAGCAUUUGUGCUAUACAAAUAAGCACUGGUCCUUGAGGACAAACCGGUUUGUUUUCCCUGUCCCAGCUUUUUUAAUUAUCUUCAUAGUUAAGGGCAAGACAGCAUGUCUAGGAAGGGUAAAUAAUACUAGGUAAUAUUCCUAGUUUCAGUGUCAUUAAUCUAGUGAUCUUUUAUCAAAGCAGGGAAACUAAAGGAAGUGUCUAGCAUGAUGAGAUUGUCAUAUAUGGACUGUCAGUUUGCACACCAAGGACCACUCCAAAUAGUACUAGCAUUGCCAUUACGGAUUUGAAUAGAGCAGAUUUAGGGGUACUAGCAUUGCUAAUUUUAGGCUGCACUGGAACUAUCUACAGUCCAUGUGUUGAAAAUGCAGUGACAUUCAGAUCACUGUUGUGCAAAAAUUCAGUUAACACACUGUCAAAAAAAUUCAGUUACAAACAUACAUUUAGUUUGAAUUAAUCUCUCAUAUUCCCUUCACAUUGCUAACCAUAUGGCCAAAAUAUUGUCCCUAGACAUCUCCUGGUCCUACCCAAGAUAAACCCUAGUUACAAAAAUGCAGUGCGAAAAUUCAGUUAACACACUGUCAAUACAUUCAGUUUGAAUUAUUUCUCAUGGCGAUCCUCAACGAAAUCUUAUGACAGAACUACCAACUUUAUAAACCCAAGAUAAACCCUAGGAAGAAUUAGAGAGGGAGAGGUCAAGGAGGGAGGAGCAGAGAGGGAGAGGUGGGAAAUGGAGGCGGGGGUGAUUUGGAUGGGGUACCUGCGGGCGUAGAAGACGGGGGCGUCGUCGGGGACGAAGACGUCGACGCUGUGGAUGUUGGUGGUGGUGCAACAAGGUCCGGGAGGCGACGAGGUCCGGGUGGUGGUGGUGCUCCGAGGAGACGAGGAGAGCGGCGCCGAGGAGACGAGGACGACGGGGCGGCGGGGCGGCGGCGUCGGGAGAGGAGAGGGCGGCGUCGGGGCGUCGCGGCGGAGACGAGGACGACGGGGCGGCGUCGAGGCGGCGGGGCAGCGGCGUCGGGAGAGGAGAGGGGAAGGGGAUCGAGGGCGAGGGCGAGGGAGAGAGAGGGGAUAGGUUUGGGCCGGGGAUAGGAGAGGGGAAGGGGAUCGAGGGCGAGGGCACAAUACUAAUGGCGCACCACCCCUCGGUGCGCCAUAAGUACAUCCAUACUAAUGGCGCACCUCACCCUGGUGCGCCAUUAGUAUUUUUUUUUUGAUUUCUGCUCGAGCCAACAGGUUAUCUUCCACCUGACCUGAUCCACACCAAGUUCCCUCUACUAGCUCGACUGGUCAGCAGCUAGUUCUCACACUAGGAGGUCCUGGGUUUGAUUCCCAGGCUCCACAAUUUUUUUUAUGCAUUUAAAAUGCUGUUUGAUAUUUAUUUGUGUUUAAAUAUGUUCAAACUUGUUUAAAUCAUAACAUUAAUAUUUUUUUAUAAGACAGUAAUAAUUUUUUUAAAAAUAUCAUCAAACAGUAAUGCCGGUGGAGCGGGGGAGGGUGCGCGGGGUGCGGGGGGCCGGUGGACCGGGGGGUGCUCGGCGGCGAGGGGGACCGGAUCUGGCGAGGUGGGAUAGCGAUCGAGAUGGAGGGGAUCGAGAUCGAGUGUCCAUGAAAUUUAAAAAUAUUCAUGAUAGUUCAAAAAGUGCCCAUGAAAUACAAUCGAGAAAUGAAGGCUACGAUUUAAAUACAAUCGAUCUUAGCUAGCUAUCUGUUCACAAUCUUCUUGCCCUUCUUUUUCGCAAAUGGAGUUCUUCUGUGGAACGGACGUCCUUUAGGUAGGGUGGUCCUGCUUCUUCUUGUGGUGUAUGCUGCUACUUCAUCAUCGUCGUCAUGUUCGAUUCUCGGGUCGCCGUACUUGUCGAAGUCUUGCUCAUUGGCAACUCCAUCCAUUCCGAUGAUCUUCCUUUUGCCUCUCCUCACGACAACACGACUGGGCUUUGACGGGUCGGUAAUGAAGAAGCAUUGGUCCACUUGGGAAGCCAGUACCCAUGGCUCAUUUUUCGCGGUGACGUUUGCACCUGCGGUCUUGGAUUUGGCUUCGGGUAUAACCAUGGUGGUGAAAUACCGGUCUUCUUUUAGGACGCUCUUGGCCCAUCUGACACGGAACAUCGGGACCUUCUCUCCAGCGUAGCUCAGCUCCCAGAUCUCCUCGAUCCUUCCGUACUAUCUGUCCUUGUCGUUACCGGUGUAGGAUUCCAUCGUUACCCCGGAGUUUUGAUAACCAUCGCUCUUCAUGUCCUUGGCCUCGGUGUAGAAUGUGUAGCCGUUGAUAUCGUACGCCUCAUAGGUCAUCAGGUUGUGCUCGGCGCCCUGUGACAAGGCGAAUAUGAGUUGUUCUUCCGCGGAAGAAUCCUCAUGUAAAGGGUACGACAGAAGCUUCUGCUUGAACCAACGCGUGAAACUUGAGUUGUGCUCUUUGAGUAUAUCUCCGUCCGUCCUCUGUUGGCCUCGGUCAUUGUACGUCUUCUUAAUAAAGGUUUUGUGCUCUACCACCCAAGGAUCGACCACGUCUAUGUGUUGUAGCGCGACUAGGUUUGCUCUUUCAAAGUCGGCGAGUCGACCCUCGAAGUCGACAUGCAUUUCGCGGCGACCCUCACGGUGACCCCAUCCAGCGAGCCUGCCGAGGUGCCUGUUGACGGGCAGACCAACGGGGUUCUCGAUGCCUAGAUAAUUCGUGCAGUAGGAGAUGCCCUCUUCGGUCAGAAAGCCCCUGGCUAUGCUUCCCUCUGGACGUGACAUGUUGCGAACGUAUCCUUUGAUGACACCAUUCAUCCUUUCGAACGGCAUCAUGCUGUGCAGGAACGUCGGCCCGAGUUGGAUGAUAUCGUCCACGAUAUGGACCAGCAGAUGCACCAUAACGUCGAAGAAUGCAGGCGGGAAGUACAUCUCAAGGUCGCAUAGUAUCACCACGAUCUCUUCCUGUAGCCUUCUGAGUUGCCUCACGCCAACAGACUUCCGAGAGAUGACAUCGAAAAAGUUGCAUAGGCCAAAUAGCGUUUCACGGACGUGCGCGUCCAUGAUCCCACGGAUUGCAACUGGAAGUAUCUGCGUCAUCAGCACGUGACAGUCGUGAGACUUCAUCCCGCUGAACUUCAGCUUCGCUAGGUCUAGGUAUCUGCUUAUCUUCCCCGCGUAACCGUAAGGAAGUUUUACUCCUACGAGGCAGGUGAAAAACUGCUCGAUCUCCUCCUGACUUAGAGUGAAGCACGCGGGAGGGUAGUCAUUUCCGGUCUUCUUGGCCUUUUUGCCUUUGCGACGACUUUCCGUGUCCUGCUUCGCCUCAUCAUCAUCAUCAUCAUCAUAUAUAGCGUGAAGCUCCUGCCUGAUGCCCAUUGAUUUCAAGUCUGCCCUUGCUUUCGGCCCAUCUUUGGUCCUCUCUGGCAUGUUGAGCAGGGUACCAAGCAGACUCUCGCACACGUUCUUCGUGAUAUGCAUGACAUCAAGGCUGUGAGGCACACGGUGGAUCUUCCAGUACGGCAAGUCCCAGAAAACAGACCUCGUUUUCCAUACCUUCAGCAGCGGCUCUGGCGCCUUUCGCUUCUUUCCCGGCUCUGGCGCCUUUUGCUUCUUUCCCGGCAGUGGGCAGUCUUUACAAUUUUUCAACAGCUCGUCUAUUUCCUCGCCGCUCCUCGUACGCGGGCGUCCUCGGGGUUCGGUUUCACCAUCGAAUAGAUCCUUGCGUUUUCUCCACGGGUCAUCGUCGCGAAGCCACCUUCGAUGUCCCAUGAACACGGUUUUCGAAGACCCGGGAUCUCUAUCUAGCUGGCGAUAUGUUGUGUCAUCCAUGCACCUGACGCAUCCAGAAAAUCCGUGGACCACCUGCCCCGCGACAUAUCCGUAACCGAGAUAGUCGUGCACCGUCGUGAGCAGCGCGGCUCUCAUAGGGAAAUAUUCUUUCUCUGCGGCGUCCCACGUAUUGGCUGGCGUUUUCCACAGCAUGUCAAGCUCCUCUUUCAGCAGCCCCAGAUACAGAUUGAUGCCGUUCCCUGGUUGUUUCGGUCCUUCAAUUAGCAUACUCAUGUGAAUGUACUUCCUCUUCAUGCACAACCAGGGGGGAAGGUUGUACAUCCACACAAACACAGGCCAGGUGCUAUGUGUGCUUCUCUGGCUGCCAAACGGAUUGACUCCAUCGGUGCUCGCGCCCAGCACGAUGUUCCUUGGAUCGUUCCCAAAUUCUAGGUCUUCGAAGUUCAACGCUUUCCACUGGCUCGCAUCCUUAGGGUGACUCGGCAUCUUGUCUUUUUUAUCUAUCUCCGGAUCAUUUGCGUCAUCUUCUCGCUUCUUCUCCUCCCUAUCCGCGUGCCAACGCAGGAGCUUUGCUACCUUAGGGUCCGCGAAAUACCGCUGCAGACGAGGAGUGAUCGGAAAGUACCACACCACUUUUCGAGGAGCUUUCUUCCUCUUCUUGUAUCGAGUGACGCCGCACACCGGACAUAUGGUAGACUCCGCGUGCUCAUCCCGAUAAAUGAUGCAAUUGUUCAUGCACACAUGGUAUUUCACGUGCGGUAAAUCCAGAGGACACACGAUUUUCUUCGCCUCCUCCAAACUGGUCGGGCACUUGUUCCCCUUGGGAAGACGUUCGUGCCAGAAUGACAUGUUCUCGUCGAAGCAUGCGUCGGUCAUUUUGUGUUUUACCUUCAUCUCCAGAGCCAUGAGCGUUACUUUCAGGCGGGUAUCCUCGGGCCUGCAUCCUUCAUACAAUGGAGUAACCGCGUCUAACUCAAGUUGAUCCAUCUUGGCUUUCUCUCGGGCGGCAGCUCUUGCGUUAUCCGUCUGCUUGAGAAGCAGCUCUUGAAUAUGAGGGUCCUGCACCCAGCCCAUCGAUGGUCCAGCGUCGUCUGCUCCGCUGGCAUCAUCAUCUUCAUGAUCAUGCCCGUUGUCUGCUCCGGCAUCUUCCUCAUCAUCAUGUCCUGCAUCUUCUACAUGAUGACUGUGUACAGCAUCACCGUCGUGAUCAUCUCCUGGGGAUUCUUCUUCUUCUCGCCCGCCCGAGCCGCGGUGGUUGUCUUGCUGCCCUUCCUCAUUUCUUGCCCGGCCCCCAUGGACGACUUCGUAGUCAUCUUCAUCACCUUGCCACCGAUAGCCAUCCAUGAAACCACGCAAGAGCAGGUGGUCCCGCACCUGCCCGGAUUCCGGGUCCGCAAUAAGGCUCUUCAGCUUGCAUCUUCGACACGGACAUCUUAUCUCCGUCUCGUUCUUUUGAAGCAUCUCGGCCUUCGCGGACCUCAAAAACCUAUUCACGAUGCCUUCGGUCAUCAUGCGGACCAUGGUCGCCUGCGGGGUAGAGCAAAACGAUAUUUUAGAACCAAGAAAAAAUUUGGCAUGACUUUCCCUAAAAAUAGGACCAAAAAGAAUGCUUAAUGCCAAAAUUCUCGCCGAAACGGAAAUGAAUCAACAUUCCGGCAAAAUAUUGGCAACUAUCGCAUUUCAAAUACCGGUACACCUCCAAACACAAACACAUAUGCAACACCACAAACAUAUGCAACACUACGAACAUACAUAGAUCUAGCUAGGCAAUAAAAGUGCAUGUGCACAUUGUUGUAGGGAGAACAACAUAAAUAUAGCUUCCCCCCUUACUUACCUAUCAAAACAAGGUAAUUUAACCACUUAAAUUGAAUGAAUCUAUGGUGGAAAUGAGGUGAAAAUGAGGAGGCACCCGAGACAAGGAGGAGGUGGAGAGAAUGAAGUGGGGAUAAAGUGAGUGUGGGUAGGAGAGGCUGUCCAAAAUAUCUUGUUGCUGCCCACUUACUAAUGGCGCACCAACUCUAAAUGCGCCAUUAGUAAUCCAGGUUACUAAUGGCGCACCUUCUUGUGGUGCGCCAUUAGUAGUUUUGCAAAAAAAAACAUACUAAUGGCGCACUAUUCCACAGUGCGCCAUUACUAGUUUAAACUAGUAAUGGCGCACGGUGGAAAAGUGCGCCAUUAGUAGUUUUGCAAAAAAAGGAAUAAAAAAUAUAAUAGAAAAAACAACAUUAGUGGCGCACUUUCCGACAGGUGCGCCAUUACUAGUUACAACUAGUAAUGGCGCACUGUGUCUGGAUGCGCCAUUAGUAUGUUUGGACAGGCGCACUAGUUAAAAAAAAAUUUGAUACUAAUGGCGCACCCUGGGCCAGGUGCGCCAUUAGUAGUUUCAACUCUAAUGGCGUAUCAGAAGGUGGUGCGCCAUUAGUAUAUACUAAUGGCGCACCGCUUGUCUGGUGCGCCAUUAGUGUCAAUCCCAUCUAUAGCCCUUUUUCUAGUAGUGAUGUACUCAUUGAAAAAACUUAUCAAGUGUCUUGAUCUAUCUCUAUAGAUCUUGAUGCUCAAUAUGUAAGCAGCUUCACCGAGGUCUUUCUUUGAAAAACUCCUUUCAAACACUCCUUUAUGCUUUGCAAAAUAAUUCUACAUUAUUUCCGAUCUACAAUAUGUCAUUCACAUAUACUUAUCAGAAAUGCUGUAGUGCUCCCACUCACUUUCUUGUAAAUACAGGCUUCACCGCAAGUCUAUAUAAAACUAUAUCCUUUGAUCAACUUAUCAAAGCGUAUAUUCCAACUCCGAGAUACUUGCACCAGUCCAUAGAUGGAUCGCUGGAGCUUGCAUAUUUUGUUAGCACCUUUAGGAUUGACAAAACCUUCUGAUUGCAUCAUAUACAACUCUUCUUUAAUAAAUCCAUUAAGGAAUGCAGUUUUGUUUAUCCAUUUGCCAUAUUUCAUAAAAUGCGGCAAUUGCUAACAUGAUUCAGACAGACUUAAGCAUAGAUACGAGUGAGAAACUCUCAUCGUAGUCAACACCUUGAACUUGUCGAAAAACCUUUUUGCGACAAUUCUAGCUUUGUAGAUAGUAACACUACUAUCAGUGUCCGUCUUCCUCUUGACGAUCCAUUUAUUCUCAAUUGCUUGCCGAUCAUCAGGCAAGUCAACCAAAGUCCAUACUUUGUUCUCAUACAUGGAUCUCAUCUCAGAUUUCAUGGCCUCAAGCCAUUUUGCGGAAUCUGGGCUCACCAUCGCUUCUUCAUAGUUCGUAGGUUCGUCAUGGUCUAGUAACAUAACCUCCAGAACAGGAUUACCGUACCACUCUGGUGCGGAUCUUACUCUGGUUUACCUACGAGGUUUGGUAGUAACUUCAUCUGAAGUUACAUGAUCAUCAUCAUUAACUUCCUCACUAAUUGGUGUAGAAGCACAGGAACAGAUUUCUGUGAUGAACUACUUUCCAGUAAGGGAGUAGGUACAGUUACCUCAUCAAGUUCUACUUUCCUCCCACUCACUUCUUUCGAGAGAAACUCCUUCUCUAGAAAGGAUCCAUUCUUAGCAACGAAUGUCUUGCCUUCGGAUCUGUGAUAGAAGGUGUACCCAACUGUCUCCUUUGGGUAUCCUAUGAAGACACAUUUCUCCGAUUUGGGUUUGAGUUUAUCAGGAUGAAACUUUUUCACAUAAGCAUCGCAACCCCAAAUUUUAAGAAAUGACAACUUUGGUUUCUUGCCAAACCACAGUUCAUAAGAUGUCUUCUCAAUGGAUUUAGAUGGUACCCUAUUUAACGUGAAUGCAGCUGUCUCUAAUGCAUAACCCCAAAACGAUAGUGGUAGAUCGGUAAGAGACAUCAUAUAUCGCACCAUAUCUAAUAAAGUACGGUUACGAUGUUCGGACACACCAUUACACUGUGGUGUUCCAGGUGGCGUGAGUAGUGAAACUAUUUCACAUUGUUUUAACUGAAGGCCAAACUCGUAACUCAAAUACUCUUCUCCACGAUUAGAUCGUAGAAACUUUAUUUUCUUGUUACGAUGAUUUUCCGCUUCACUCUGAAUGAACUUUUCAAAUGUUUCAGACUUCUGUUUCCUGAAGUAGAUAUACCCAUAUCUGCUCAAAUCAUCUGUGAAGGUCAGAAAAUAAUGAUACCUGCUACGAGCCUCAAUUUUCAUCGGACCACAUACAUCUGUAUGUAUGAUUUCCAACAAAUCUGUUGCUCUCUCCAUAGUUCCGGAGAACGGCGUUUUAGUCAUCUUGCCCAUGAGGCACGGUUUGCAAGCAUCAAGUGAUUCAUAAUCAAAUGAUUCCAGAAUCCCAUCAGUAUGGAGUUUCUUCAUGCGCUUUACACCAAUAUGAUCUAAACGGCAGUGCCACAAAUAAGUUGCACUAUCAUUAUUAACUUUGCAUCUUUUGGCUUCAUUAUUAUGAAUAUGUGUAUUACUACGAUCGAGAUCCAACAAACUAUUUUAUUGGGUGUAUGACCAUAGAAGGUUUUAUUCAUGUAAAAAGAAUAACAAUUAUUCUCUAAUUUAAAUGAAUAACCGUAUUGCAACAAACAUGAUCAAAUCAUAUUCAUGCUCAACGCAAACACCAAAUAACACUUAUUUAGUUUCAACACUAACCCCGAAAGUAUAGGGAGUGUGCGAUGAUGAUCAUAUCAAUCUUGGAACUACUUCCAACACACAUCGUCACCUCGCCUUUUACUAGUCUUUGUUUAUUCUGCAACUCUUGUUUCGAGUUACUACUCUUAGCAACUGAACCAGUAUCAAAUACUGAGGGGUUGCUAUAAACACUAGUAAAGUACACAUCAAUAACAUGUAUAUCCAAUAUACCUUUGUUCACUUUGCCAUCCUCCUUAUCCACCAAAUACUUGGGGUAGUUCCGCUUCCAGUGACCAGUCCCUUUGCAGUAGAAGCACUUAGUCUCAGGCUUAGGACCAGACUUAGGCUUCUUCACUUGAGCAGCAACUUGCUUGCCGUUCUUCUUGAAGUUCCCCUUCUUCCCUUUGCCCUUUUCUUGAAACUAGUGGUCUCGUCAACCAUCAACACUUGAUGUUUUUCUUGAUUUCUACCUUCGUCGAUUUCAGCAUCACGAAGAGCUCGGGAAUUACUUUUGUCAUCCCUUGCAUACUGUAGUUCAUCACGAAGUUCUACUAACUUGGUGAUGGUGACUAGAGAAUUCUGUCAAUCACUAUUUUAUCUGGAAGAUUAACUCCCACUUGAUUCAAGCGAUUGUAGUACCCAGACAAUCUGAGCACAUGCUCACUAGUUGAGCGAUUCUCCUCCAUCUUUUAGCUAUAGAACUUGUUGGAGACUUCAUAUCUCUCAACUCGGGUAUUUGCUUGAAAUAUUAACUUCAACUCCUGGAACAUCUCAUAUGGUCCAUGACGUUCAAAACGUCUUUGAAGUCCCGAUUCUAAGCCAUUUAAGCAUGGUGCACCAACCUGGAGUUUAGGGAAGAGCAUGGCAGCCCACAUCACUAUGGGACACAUUGGAGAAGUCUACCACAGGGAGCUUAAGGAUACUAUUUAUCAGAUUUGUGGACGCCGAGAUGAGCAAUGGGAGAUGAUCAGCACCAAGAAGGAUGGAUCAAUUGCAGCUUUCAUCCAGGAGCAAAACCAACACAUUCGUCGCCAGGAGAACCAGAUGUGCGCAGACAUGAUAGAUCUGAAGAAGGCAUUGACCAAGAUCACGGAGUUGGAGGAAGAACUCAAGGCUACACGCGAGGAUUAUAUGGAGGAAAUCGUCGCACUGGUGGAGAAGAAUGACGACCUGAUAAAGAAGAUCGGAGUAUUCAUGGGAGACCCAGCACUAGAGGAGAAGAUGAUGAUUGCACUUGCCCGGAUAACUACAUCAUCAUCGACGACACCGACUCAGACCCUAGUGAAGAUGAUUUUGUUGAUGAAGAUGGAGCAGAUAUCAUGGAGUCUUCGACCGAUCAAAAUUUCUAGUAGACCACCAUAAUCAGUAGUAGUAUUCCCCCAUGUAUAUAGUAUAGUCCGAGCACUUUGUAACAAUAGUUAGAUCGAUUGUAUGCCUUGUUUGAAUUGAUUGAGUGAUAUUGAUUGUGUUUGUCUCAUGAGCAUAUGGGUAGUGCUUUCUCUCUAGACCUCAUUCUAUUCUAAAUUCUCAUGUUUUCUAAACCUAUCAGAUGCCUCCGAGACGCGACACCGGAUUUGUUUUCCUACCGGAGAUCACUUAGUUGAUUCAGCAGCAGAAUGCCCUGAUGCAAGUGUUAGUACAGAACCAAGGCAACAACAACAACAACAACAACAACAAGAACCCACCACCACCACCUGUUGAUCACUUAGCCCGUUUCUUGAGGCUAAAUCCGCCGGUGUUUUCCAGCAGCACCGAGCCGAUUGUUGCAGAUGAUUGGCUCCGCAAAGUUGGAAGGGAGUUGACCACUGCAGGAUGCACAGAUGCGGAGAGAGUGCGUUUUGCCGCACAUCAGCUUGAUGGACCCGCAGCAUCAUGGUGGGAGAAUUACACAGCCACACACCCUAUUGACACUGUCACAUGGGACCAGUUUCAGCAAGCUUUCCGUACUGCCCAUGUUUCAGCAGGAGCUAUGGCUAUGAAGAAGCGUGAGUUUUGCAACCUACGCCAAGGAGGACGCACCGUAGGCCAGUAUGUGGAGGACUUUAGUAAAUUAGCACGUUAUGCUCCAGAUGACGUUGCUACAGAUGCAGCCAAGUAGGAGAAAUUUUUGGAAGGACUGAAUGAUGAGCUGAGCAUGCAGUUGAUGGUAGCAACCUUCAACAACUACCAGGAGUUGGUAGAUAGAGCUCUCAUGAUUGAAGGGAAGCAGCAGCAGAUUGAAAACCGUAAAAGGAAGUAUGGACAAGGGAAGUACAAUUCCGGAGCUCAGCAGAAGCCACGUUUUACCUCGAAAUCGGGAGGACCAUUUCAGCAUACCCAUGGAGGAGGUUCGCACAACCAUAAUGGCCCCAAGAAUGGUAAUGGGAAUGGAGGAAGCAACGGCCAGAACCGUACCAACCCUUCAACCCCAGCUAAGAGAGACCUGAGCCAAGUCACUUGCUUUAAGUGUCAGAAGACUGGACAUUAUGCCAAUGACUGUCCUAAAGCCCAGAAUGGAAAUGACAAUGGAAGCUCUAGGAAGAAGCCGAACCCUUUCAACAAAGGACACGUGAACCACGUUAGCGUGGAGGAGGUAGAAGCUCAGCCAAAUGCAGUAAUAGGUAAGUUUUUGGUUAAGUCAUUUACUGCACUCGUUCUUUUUUAUACUGGUGCAUCACAUUCAUACAUAACAAGGGGAUUUGUGGAUAAGUAUAAACUGCCAACCCAAGCCCUUAGGUCACCCAUGUUAGUAACCUCGCCAGGAGCAGAGUAUAUGGCUAGUUUAUGGUGUGAUCGGUUACCAUUAAGGAUUGGUAACUACGUGUUUCCCUCGGACCUAAUAGCACUGGAAUCGCAAGGAUUGGAUGUGAUAUUAGGCAUGGAUUGGUUAUCGAAGUAUGGAGGGAACAUUGAGUGCGCCAGUAAGUCGAUUUUGCUUACCACCCUAGAAGGAAGAAGGAUUAAGUAUGUAUCCCGGCAUAUGCCGAAGAGGACUCAGGUGAAUUCCUUAUCAGGAGUUGUACAGGAGGAAGUACCAGUGGUGAAGGAUUACCCGGAUGUAUUUCCAGAAGAGUUGCCAGGCAUGCCACCGGAUAGAGACAUUGAGUUUUUGAUUGAGCUUUUGCCAGGCACAGGGCCAAUAUCUAAGAGACCGUACAGAAUGCCCGCAAAAGAUUUGGAGGAGAUUAAGAAGCAGAUUAAGGAGUUACUGGAUAAAGGCUAUAUUCGCCCAAGUUCUUCACCUUGGGGAUCACCCGUACUUCUAGUGGAGAAGAAAGAUGGAUCGUUGAGGAUGGUUGUUGAUUAUCGUGGAUUGAAUGAAGUGACCAUCAAAAAUAAGUACCCACUGCCGAUGAUCAAUGAUCUGUUUGACCGAUUACAAGGAGCUAAGCUAUUUUCCAAGAUUGAUCUACGAUCAGGAUACCAUCAGUUGAAGAUUCAAGAGCAGGAUAUACCUAAGACGGCUUUUACCACCAGGUAUGGGCUGUACAAGUAUACCGUUAUGUCAUUUGGUCUGACUAACGCACCUGCCUAUUUCAUGAACCUAAUGAACAAAGUGUUUAUGGAGUUUUUGGAUAAGUUCGUCGUAGUGUUCAUUGAUGACAUGAUUUACUCCAAGAAUGAAGAGGAGCAUAAGGAACAUUUGCGUUUGGUACUUGAGAAGCUCAGAGAACAUCAGUUAUACGCCAAGUUCAGCAAAUGUGAGUUUUGGUUAAAGGAAGUUGGAUUCCUCGGACAUGUUAUAUCCGGAGAAGGAAUAGCAGUUGACCCCGCCAAAGUCGACACUGUGACAAACUGGGAAUCACCCACAUCAGUUGGAGAGAUCCGGAGUUUUCUUGGACUUGCAGGAUACUACCGGAGGUUCAUUGAGAAUUUCUCGAGGAUUGCUAAGCCCAUGACAGAGCUGUUAAAGAAGGACACCAAGUUCAAUUGGACUGAGGAAUGUGAAGCUAGUUUCCAAGAGUUGAAGAAACGUUUGGUUACAUCACCAGUGUUGAUUCUGCCAGAUCAACGCAAGGAUUAUGAAGUAUAUUGCGACGCUUCACGUAGAGGACUUGGAGUAGUGCUAAUGCAGGAGGGAAGAGUUGUUUCAUAUGCUUCACGACAACUCAAACCCCAUGAGAAGAAUUAUGCCACGCAUGAUCUGGAGUUAGCAGCCGUAGUACAUGCGUUGAAGACAUGGAGACAUUUUCUCAUCGGAAAUCACUGUGAGGUGUACACGGAUCACAAGAGUUUGAAGUACAUUUUCACGCAGAAGGAGUUGAAUCUCAGGCAAAGGAGAUGGUUGGAGCUCAUUAAGGAUUAUGAUAUGAGAUUGCAUUAUCACCCAGGGAAGGCUGACGUAGUAGCUGAUGCGUUGAGCCGCAAAAGUCAUGUAAACACACUCAUGAUCGGAGAAUUACCCAAGAAGUUAGCCGAGGAUCUUCGCGAACUACGUUUGGAAAUAGUUCCGAGAGGCUAUGUAGCAACGUUGGAGAUUCAGUCUACCUUGAUGGAAAAGAUCAGGGAAGCUCAGAGACAGACAAGGAGAUUGCAGAAAUAAAGAAAAGGAUGAGUAAAGGAAAAUCCAAGGGAUUUCGUGAGGAUGAGCACGAUACCUUAUGGUUUGAGGACCGCGUUUAUGUGCCCAAUGAUCCCGAGAUCAGGAAGUUGAUCUUGCAAGAGGCCCAUGAUUCGCCUUAUUCGAUUCACCCAGGAAAUACCAAGAUGUAUUUGGAUUUGAAGGAUACUUUCUGGUGGACCGGAAUGAAGAAGGAUAUUGCGGAGUAUGUAGCAGUUUGUGAUGUAUGUCAGAGAGUGAAGGCAGAGCAUCAGAAGCCAGCAGGAUUGCUACAGCCAUUGCCGAUACCCGAAUGGAAGUGGGAUAAACUAGGCAUGGAUUUUAUCACGGGAUUGCCCAGGACUCGUUCAGGCUAUGACUCGAUAUGGGUUGUAGUCAAUCGUUUGACGAAGGUAGCUCAUUUCAUCCCAGUGAAGACCACUUACACCAGUGCUAAGUUGGCAAAGAUAUACAUGACUAGGAUCGUAUGUCUGCAUGGAGUUCCGAGGACCAUUGUAUCAGAUAGAGGAACCCAGUUUACUUCGAAGUUUUGGAAUUAGUUACAUGAAACUUUGGGUACCAGGCUAGAUUUUAGUACAGCCUUUCACCCACAGACAGACGGACAGACCGAGAGAGUCAAUCAGAUUUUGGAAGAUACGCUGAGAGCUUGCGCGCUAGAUUAUGGAUCUAGUUGGGACGACAAUUUGCCGUAUGCAGAAUUCUCUUACAACAACAGUUAUCAAACCAGUUUGAAGAUGGCCCCUUUCGAAGCUUUAUAUGAAAGGAGGUGUAGAACACCAUUGUUAUGGGACGAAGUUGGAGACCGCUAGUUGUUUGGACCAGAUUUGAUUAAAGAGUCCGAACAGAAAGUGAAGUUGAUUCCCGAUAGGCUCAAGGUAGCCCAGUCCAGGCAGAAGAGUUAUGCGGAUUCUAAAUGCAAGGAGACAGUUUACGAAGUCAGAGACAGAGUUUACCUACGAGUAUCACCACUUCGAGGAGUGAAGCGCUCUGGAGUUAAGGGAAAGUUAGCGCCACGUUUUGUAGGACCAUACAAAGUUUUGGAGCGUAUGGGAGAAGUUGCCUACAAGCUGGAAUUGCCUGAAGGAUUGUCAGGAGUUCAGGAUGUAUUUCACAUUUCCCAGUUGAAGAAGUGCCACGCAGAUAUGGCUGAUAUACCACUGAGAGAUACGGUGCCAUUGGAAGCGAUUCAGUUGGAUAGUGACUUGACCUAUGAGGAGAAACCAGUUAAGAUUCUGAAGUAUGCCAGCCGAGUCACCCACAGCAAGGUUAUCAAGUUUUGCAAAGUUCAGUGGAGUCACCAUACCGAGGACGAAGCCACCUGGGAACGAGAGGAAGAUCUACGGAAGGACCACUCUCACCUAUUUUCUAGCCAACCUGAAUCUCGAGGGCGAGAUUCCUCUUAAGGGGGUAGGUUUGUAACAUCCCAAAUUUUCAAUUUGGAAUGUUAUACAUUAGAUCAUCAUUGCAUAGCAUAUUUUAUUGCAUUUUGGCAAAUCCUCGAAAUCCUAAGCAACUCAAGGACCCUAGGAGAGAGUUGGGGAUUUUCCCGGUUUUCAUAUUUGAUUUUUUUAUCAAAUAAUGAAACGAGGAUUUUGGUUUUAAUAAUUUUUCUCUCUGGAAAAUAUUUCAUAUUAAAACAAAUCAGAGGAGAAAAUAUGGCUUCUCCGAAAUAAUUGAAAUAUUGGAGGAAAAAUAUUAAAAAUCAAAUAUUUGAUUUUAUUCGGAUUUUAUUUGCAUUAGAAAAAUUUCACGUUUUCAAAACUGCAUUUUUGGGCCAAGAAAAUGUUCAUGUCGUUCUAAUUAUUUUAAUUAGACAGAGAAAAUUUAUUUUGGCAUUUUUAGAUUUUUAUUUAUUUUUCUAGGAUUUUUUUAGGUUCAGAGGAAUUAUUAAAAAAAAUCCCGCGAGCGCCGACUGGGCCGAAGCCCAGCCCAGCGGCCCAGCCCAGCUCCCCGUCGUCUCCGAGCUGGAGACGUCCGCGCCGCCGCCCGAGUCCCGAUCGACGCCGCCUCCCGCCGCCUUGCCCCCUCCCCCACGGCGGCCCCCCACCUAUAUAUACCCCGCACCCCGCCGCCUCCCUCACCCCGUCCCACCCUGACCGAAGCCCGCCGGAGCCGCCCGACGNNNNNNNNNNNNNNNNNNNNNNNNNNNNNNNNNNNNNNNNNNNNNNNNNNNNNNNNNNNNNNNNNNNNNNNNNNNNNNNNNNNNNNNNNNNNNNNNNNNNNNNNNNNNNNNNNNNNNNNNNNNNNNNNNNNNNNNNNNNNNNNNNNNNNNNNNNNNNNNNNNNNNNNNNNNNNNNNNNNNNNNNNNNNNNNNNNNNNNNNNNNNNNNNNNNNNNNNNNNNNNNNNNNNNNNNNNNNNNNNNNNNNNNNNNNNNNNNNNNNNNNNNNNNNNNNNNNNNNNNNNNNNNNNNNNNNNNNNNNNNNNNNNNNNNNNNNNNNNNNNNNNNNNNNNNNNNNNNNNNNNNNNNNNNNNNNNNNNNNNNNNNNNNNNNNNNNNNNNNNNNNNNNNNNNNNNNNNNNNNNNNNNNNNNNNNNNNNNNNNNNNNNNNNNNNNNNNNNNNNNNNNNNNNNCGUCGCCCCACGUCGCCACCCGCCGCCUCCCCGCACCCCGCCGCACGCCCGAAGCCCCGCCGGAGCCCGUCCCGCCCGCCGGAGUAACCUCGCCGGAGGUAACCGAAGCCACCGCCGCCGAUUCUGGUUUUUUUUAAACCAUUUCGGUUUUUUUUUAGAAACCCUAGGUUUAUUUUUUUAAGAUCGGUUUAUUUUUUUUCUUUGGUUUAGUUAGUUAGUGAACGUUCGCCGGUCCGUUCGUUUUAACGAACGUGUUCACCGUUUAGUUGAUGUUAACGAACGUCCGUUCGAUUAACUGUUCGUCAGUUUUCUUUUUCAUCGAAUUAUUCGUGAUUAUUCCAGAUCGCGAUUUCCGUCUGUUUUUUGUUUUAGUUUAACUUUUCGCUCGUUUAUGGGAAUCAGGCGAUUCAAGCGCCUAGAGUUUGGUCUCGAAAUUCUCUUUCCGUUUAACUAAGUCAAACAAGUUUUUGCUACUGUAAAAUUUCACUUAGAUCCAAAUUAGUAAACGAAGCCUGUUUCUUUUGCCGUUUGACUUUCGUUGCUUCGUUCGAUUUGAUUCUUUUUGCAAACCAGAGUUCUUAAGUUGAACUUUCUAGUUAGAUCUUUUACUUGAGUUUUACCUGUGCAUCAGAUGAGUGCUUAUUGUAUGCUUGUUUGUUUGCGAUAGAGUACCCGGAGUGCGCCGCUUGCUACUUCGAAUCUCUAAGUUUCACGGAUCAUCAGCAAGGCAAGUAACACUUUGAUCAUACCUCUUUACUACCCAGUUUUAUUGCAUUAGACCAAUCCUCAAACAUUGUAUGAUUAGGAUCUAAUUAAAUUGUGGGUAUUGGGAAGUAGAUGAGGUAGUACCUAUUGCCCUGUUUAUUAUCAAACCUUGGGAGUUACUUCUACGUUUGCUCAUGUUGCUAUGCUAUGCUAGUAGACGUGGAUUGGGUUUGAAUGUAUCCAUGACAGAUGUGAGAUUGUUAAAUUAAUGGUUUACUUAAGGUGGCAACUAAAACACACAUCUGGGUGGAUUGAGGCACCUGGGUAUCCCAGUGAUUGCCUGUUUUCUUUUGGACCGCCACCCAGGUUCAAAGGGAUCAUGAGAUUAUUCAUGCUAGAAACUUCCGUGUGCAGCCGCAAGCUAUUAUGGGCUCUAGCAUAGUUGAGUAGGUUGUGUGAGCUCUUGAAGAGGUAGACUAUCAGAUGUAGGGGAUGUAGGUGGUACUGUCUACCCAGAGUAGAGAGUUAACGCUUCUGAAAGACUGUGUCUCGGUCAUCCGUUUCUCAAACACCAUGAAGUGCGAGAAUCCCAACGGAGGAGAUCGAGUCUUGUGGGGAAAAGUGCACAAACCUCUGCAGAGUGUAUAAACUAAUCAUGGUUAGCCGUGUCCCCGGUUAUGGACAUCUUGAGUAUCUAGUACUUGGAUUAUCAUGUGAAUCUCAUCAUGUUACUUUAAUUAAUUUUGUUGGGUUAAUGAUGAUACUUAAUUGGGAUUAAGAUGCUGUCAACCAUCUCAAUAUUUAACAACCACCAUGAUAGUUAAAUAAAAAUUUAUUCCUUUGUAGUAGGGAAAAAUUGGCUUUUUGCAAAACUGUAACCAUAGAGAUUAACACCAGCCAUAUAUGCACGUAGUAUAGCAUUAUUCUGUCCAUUACUCUCUAUGUGUUAUGUUGCCAGCAUAUUCCAUGUGCUGACCCGUUUUCGGGCUGCAACGUUUCAUGUUGCAGACUUUUCAGACGACGAGUAAGGUGCCUUAGGUCGUGGUCUUAUACUCAGUGAUGCCGUUGGAGUUGAUGGACUCACUUAUCUUCCAAGUCUUCCGCUGUUAUCGUUUUAGAUGGCCUUAAGCCAUAUUUGUCAUACUUAUUUCUCUCUUGAGAUACUCGUUGUAAUAAGUGUGUGAUUGCUACUCUGUUACAAACCCUCCAAGUACUGUGCGUGUCAGCAUUACUGAUCCAGGGAUGACACUGGUGCACGGUAGAUCAGACUGUUUGAGGUCUGGUUGCUACAAAGGUGGUAUCAGAGCACACGCUGACUGUAGGACACGACCACUAAGCUUAAACCCUAGAACACUACUCUCUUCUCAUUUCUGACUCCUCUCCACUUUCUAAUCUUUUAGGAAUGGCGGAUGCAAGGAACAAGCUCAUGCAACCGGAUGAAGAUACACCUUUUGGACGACACUUGAAGGAAGUCACUAAGUACCUGAAUAUCAGAAUACCAAGCUUCACCGGGACCUACAAGGCCACACUACCAGAAGAGGAGCGCUGGAAGAUUCAAGUUCAAGUUCUAGGAAGGACGUUUACGCCAGUCACUGAGCCUAUAGAGUUUUCCUUUGAUGCACCAACCUCGAGUUUAGGGAAGAGCAUGGCAGCCCACAUCACUAUGGGACGCAUUGGAGAAGUCUACCAUAGGGAGCUUAAGGAUACUAUUUAUCAGAUUUGUGGACGCCGAGAUGAGCAAUGGGAGAUGAUCAGCACCAAGAAGGAUGGAUCAAUUGCAGCUUUCAUCCAGGAGCAAAACCAACACAUUCGUCGCCAAGCGAACCAGAUGUGCGCAGACAUGAUAGAUCUGAAGAAGGCAUUGACCAAGAUCACGGAGUUGGAGGAAGAACUCAAGGCUACACGCAAGGAUUAUAUGGAGGAAAUCGUCGCACUGGUGGAGAAGAAUGACGACCUGAUAAAGAAGAUCGGAGUAUUCAUGGGAGACCCAGCACCAGGAGGAGAAGAUGAUGAUUGCACUUGCCCGGAUAACUACAUCAUCAUCGACGACACCGACUUAGACCCCAGUGAAGAUGAUUUUGUUGAUGAAGCUGGAGCAGAUAUCAUGGAGUCUUCGACCGAUCAAAAUUUCUAGUAGACCACCAUAAUCAGUAGUAGUAUUCCCCCAUGUAUAUAGUAUAGUCUGAGCACUUUGUAACAAUAGUUAGAUCGAUUGUAUGCCUUGUUUGAAUUGAUUGAGUGAUAUUGAUUGUGUUUGUCUCAUGAGCAUAUGGGUAGUGCUUUCUCUCUAGCCCUCAUUCUAUUCUAAAUUCUCAUGUUUUCUAAACCUAUCAGAUGCCUCCGAGACGCGACACCGGAUUUGUUUUCCCACCGGAGAUCACUCAGUUGAUUCAGCAGCAGAAUGCCCUGAUGCAAGUGUUAGUACAUAACCAAGGCAACAACAACAACAACAACCCACCACCACCACCUGUUGAUCACUUAGCCCGUUUCUUGAGGCUAAAUCCGCCGGUGUUUUCCAGCAGCACCGAGCCGAUUGUUGCAGAUGAUUGGCUCCACAAAGUUGGAAGGGAGUUGACCACUGCAGGAUGCACAGAUGCGGAGAGAGUGCGUUUUGCCGCACAUCAGCUUGAUGGACCCGCAGCAUCAUGGUGGGAGAAUUACAUAGCCACACACCCUAUUGACACUGUCACAUGGGACCAGUUUUAGCAAGCUUUCCGUACUGCCCAUGUUUCAGCAGGAGCUAUGGCUAUGAAGAAGCGUGAGUUUCGCAACCUACGCCAAGGAGGACGCACCGUUGGCCAGUAUGUGGAGGACUUUAGUAAGUUAGCACGUUAUGCUCCAGAUGACGUUGCUACAGAUGCAGCCAAGCAGGAGAAGUUUCUGGAAGGACUGAAUGAUGAGCUGAGCAUGCAGUUGAUGGUAGCAACCUUCAACAACUACCAGGAGUUGGUAGAUAGAGCUCUCAUGAUUGAAGGGAAGCAGCAGCAGAUUGAAAACCAUAAAAGGAAGUAUGGACAAGGGAAGUACAAUUCUGGAGCUCAGCAGAAGCCACGUUUUACCUCGAAAUCGGGAGGACCAUUUCAGCAUACCCAUGGAGGAGGUUCGCACAACCAUAAUGGCCCCAAGAAUGGUAAUGGGAAUGGAGGAAGCAACGGCCAGAACCGUACCAACCCUUCAACCCCAGCGAAGAGAGACCUGAACCAAGUUACUUGCUUUAAGUGUCAGAAGACUGGACAUUAUGCCAAUGACUGUCCUGAAGCCCAGAAUGGAAAUGGAAAUGGAAGCUCUGGGAAGAAGCCGAACCCUUUCAACAAAGGACAUGUGAACCACGUUUAGCGGAGGAGGUAGAAGCUCAGCUAGAUGCAGUAAUAGGUAAGUUUUUGGUUAAGUCAUUUACUGCACUCGUUCUUUUUUAUACUGGUGCAUCGCAUUCAUACAUAUCAAGGGGAUUUGUGGAUAAGUAUAAACUGCCAACCCAAGCCCUUAGGCCACCCAUGUUAGUAACCUCGCCAGGAGCAGAGUAUAUGGCUAGUUUAUGGUGUGAUCGUUUACCAUUAAGGAUUGGUAACUACGUGUUUCCCUCGGACCUAAUAGUACUAGAAUCGCAAGGAUUGGAUGUGAUAUUAGGCAUGGAUUGGUUAUCGAAGUAUGGAGGGAACAUUGAGUGCGCCAGUAAGUCGAUUUUGCUUACCACCCCAGAAGGAAGAAGGAUUAAGUAUGUAUCCCGGCAUAAGCCUAAGAGGACUCAGGUGAAUUCCUUAUCAGGAGUUGUACAGGAGGAAGUACCAGUGGUGAAGGAUUACCCGGAUGUAUUUCCAGAAGAGUUGCCAGGCAUGCCACCGGAUAGAGACAUUGAGUUUUUUGAUUGAGCUUUUGCCAGGCACAGGGCCAAUAUCUAAGAGACCGUAUAGAAUGCCCGCAAAAGAUUUGGAGGAGAUUAAGAAGCAGAUUAAGGAGUUACUAGAUAAAGGCUAUAUUCGCCCAAGUUCUUCACCUUGGGGAUCACCCGUACUUCUAGUGGAGAAGAAAGAUGGAUCAUUGAGGAUGAUACUUAAUUGGGAUUGAGAUGUUGUCAACCAUCUCAAUGUUUAACAACCACCAUGAUAGUUAAAUAAAAAUUUAUUCCUUUGCAGUAGGGAAAAUUUGGCUUUUUGCAAAACUGUAACCAUAGAGCUUAACACCAGCCAUAUAUGCAUGUUGUAUAGCAUUAUUCUGUCCAUUACUCUCUAUGUGUUAUUUUGCCAGCAUAUUCCAUGUGCUGACCCGUUUUCGGGCUGCAACGUUUCAUGUUGCAGACUUUUCAGACGACGAGUAAGGUGCCUUAGGUCGUGGUCUUAUACUCAGUGAUGCCGUUGGAGUUGAUGGACUCACUUAUCUUCCAAGUCUUCCGCUGUUAUCGUUUUAGAUGGCCUUAAGCCAUAUUUGUCAUACUUAUUUCUCUCUUGAGAUACUCGUUGUAAUAAGUGUGUGAUUGCUACUCUGUUAUAAAUCCUCCAAGUACUGUGCGUGUCAGCAUUACUGAUCCAGGGAUGACACUGGUGCACGGUAGAUCAGACUGUUUGAGGUCUGGUUGCUACACCGAUGCCCGGGACGAUGUAGUUUAUUUUGCUAUGCUCGUAGACAGGGUUGGUUGAGUGAUUCAUAAGGGAGAUGCGAGAGUCAAGAUGAUGAAAACCCCACGACAUCAAGCUCAAGAUGGACUUCAAAAUUCACUACUGGGUGGAGGACGGUUGACGGGCACCCUGGAGAAACCAGCGGAUGGCCGGGAUGCAUGGAGAAGCGCCAUGACAUCUUGCGGAAAGCUUCACCCAGCCACGAAGAGACAGAUGGAUACCCCAUUGACCGGAAGCUUACCUGUGCAGACGCAAGCCAUUAUGGGCUCUGGCUGGGUUGACCCUAGGCGUGACUCUGGCCGGACGGUGCUACGAGAUGUAGAAGAACGGUAGGAUUGGAUGGGCACCGGCAGUGGCCCCGAGGAACUCUUCGGAAGACCCUGUUUCGUUCGUCCCGUCUUCAAACACCAGGCAGUGCGAAGACUUAAAGGAGGGAACGAUUCUUGCGGGUAAAGUGCACAAACCUCUGCAGAGUAGCAACCUAAUCGAUUAGCCGUGUCCCCAGUUACGGACAAAUGAGCCUCUGGGAUUGGAGUAUUUCGGAAAUCUCAACAUCGAACUUAAUAAAUUAAUUGAGGGGUUAUUUAAUAAUUGGGAAUGAGACAUUGGUUGGCGGAACCAUCUCAAUAACUACCAACAUUUUGUAGUAAUUGCAAACAAGUCCUUGUUGUAGGGAAAAACCGGCUUUUUCGCAAAACAAUGAAACUUAGAGCCCCACAGCCAAAUUGCAUAUAGUAUUAGUAAUUUUAUUGUUGUUCUCUCUUCAUGACUUGCCAGCAUAUUCAAAAUGCUGACCUACACGGCUGCAACGUCUUAUGUUGCAGAGGAGUUUUCCGAUCAGGAAUGAGGCUACGAUCCACGCUUGGCGAUUGCCCUAUGGAGUCGGAUGGACUCGCUAUUCGUCUACGCUUCCGCAGCUUUAUUUAGUUUAUUUCUCAUGAGUUGGCCUUCGGCUGAAUUUAUUAUGAUGUAAUAUAGACUCGAUAUGAGAAUCGUGUAAUAAAUUCAGGUGUGAUUGAACUUUGAAUCUUUGCAUCAAUGUACUGUGUGUGCCAUCAUGAUCUUGGGAUGGUACAGCUACACAGAGACUUGACCGAUUUCGGGUCAGGUCGCUACACAAGCACAGAGUACAGAAAGCGUAAACACAGGAUAACACAGGAUGAAGACAAAUAGACUGAAGAAAUUGAACUGAGGAAAUUGAGAAAGUCUUCAGUCAAAGUCUUCAAACACAGAUAUGAAUAAGUGCACAACACAGUUAUGAGGAAAUCAAAGAGUUGAGGAAAUAGAACCAGUAAGCUUGGUGAAGACAAUGAUUUGGUAGACCAGUUCCAACUGCUGUCUCAGUUGUACGUCUGGUUGGAGCGGCUAGGUAUUUAAACCUGAGGACACACAGUCCCGAACACACAGUCCUCACCGUAUUCUCCUUGAGCUAAGGUCACACAGACCUCACCCAAUCACUCGUGGUAAGUAUUCAGGUCACUUCCAAACCUUCACAAACUCGGUCACUCAGCGAUCCACAAUUCCUCUUGGAUGCUCUAGACCAUGACGCCUAACCUUCUGGAAGAAGCACAGUCUUCAAAGGUAACAAGCGUCGGAUCCACGCAAGAUCAAUCUCUUCAGUGAUGCUCAAUCACUUUGGGUUUGUAGGUGUUUGGGUUUGGGUUUUCCUCACUUGAUGAUUUUCUCUCAAAGUCCUCGGAGGAUGGGAUGCUCUCAAAUGACAAGUGUCAGUUUCUCUCGGAGCAGCCAACCAGCUAGUGGUUGUAGGGGGCGGCUAUUUAUAGCCUAGGGAGCAGCCCGACAUGAUAAGACAUAAAUGCCCUUCAAUGAUAUGACCGUUAGGUGGGUAGAUAUUUUGGGACAGCUGGCGCGCAGCACAGCAACGGUCGGAAUUUUGAGUAUCAAAUACCUCAGGGCUAUCAUGUUCCUCACUGUGUAGGCAAUCCGCACUGGCGAAUUCCUAACUCCUCAGUCAGAACAAAUUCCUCAGCGACCAGAAGAACUUCGUCUCUGUCACUGAAGAAAUUGACUGAGCUGUAUGAGAUUUCCAAUGGCUUCACCCGAAGGGAUUGGUAGGUGUAGGAUUUUGAGUUGAGCAUCACAUGGAAAUUUUUCCUUAGUAUUUCCUCGACCCCCUUUAACAGUACGGUGUUUCCUACGACUCAAGAAAGAGAAAAUGAAACUACGAAACAAAAGUCUUCACGCUUCAUGUUCCUCGAAUGAAUACCAAGUCUUCAAGGUCACACCAAUUUCUUCACUUUCAAAGUCUUCAGAAAGUCUUCAGAAAACCAAAAUCUUCAGUCGAAGAUAUUCAUUUUUAGGGGUCGACUUUCUCUGUAAAUAUCAAACUCCUCAUAGACUUACAGACCUGUGUACACUCAUAAACACAUUAGUCCCUUAACCUAUAAGUCUUCAAUACACCAAAAUAACUAAGGGGCACUAGAUGCACUUACAGUUAACAAAAGUUAUAUUAGAACACCCAAACCUGAUGAACAAAUUAAAGUACAGCCUAGUGUUGCUAUGGUUAAAGAUCUCUUGGAAGAAGAUAUAGAUGGGCAUGUUAUUUAUUUCUGUAAUGAAGCUACUAGAAUUGUCAAACCUGAUAAAACAAAUAAUCAUAGACCCGUUGUUGGCAUGCCCGUUGUCUCAGUUAAAAUAGGGGAUCACUGUUAUCAUGGUUUAUGUGACAUAGGUGCUAGCAUAAGUGUUAUUCCUUACACCUUAUAUCAAGAAAUUAUGAAUGACAUAGCACCCAUAGAGAUAGAAGAUAUAGAUGUUACUAUUAAACUUGCUAAUAGAGAUACUAUUUCACCAUGGGAUUGUUAGAGAUGUUGAAGUCUUGUGUGGGAAAAUACAAUACCCUACUGAUUUUCUUGUUCUUGGUUCCCCACAAGAUGACUUUUGUCCCAUUAUCUUUGGUAGACCUUUCUUGAACACCCUUAAUGCUAAAAUAGAUUAUAAGAAACAAAUUGUCGGUGUUAGUUUUGGUGAUGAGUCUCAUGAGUUUAGUUUUUCCAAGUUUAGUAGAAAGCUUCAUGAAAAAGAAUUGCCUAGUAAGGAUGAAAUAAUUGGUCUUGCUUCUAUUGUUGUGCCUCCUACGGAUCCACUAGAACAAUAUUUGCUAGACCAUGCAAAUGAUUUACAUAUGCAUGAAAGAAAUCAAAUAGAUAAGAUUUUCUUUGAACAUCGUCCUCUGCUUAAACACAAUUUGCCUAUUGAAACUCUAGGAGGUCCUCCUCCACCUAAAGGUGAUCUUGUGUUUGAAUUAAAACAAUUGCCAGACACUUUGAAAUAUGUUUAUCUUGAUGAAAAGAAGAUAUAUCCUGUUAUUAUUAGUGCUAACCUUACCGAACAUGAAGAAGAAAGAUUAUUGAAAGUUCUAAGGAAGCUGAUAUGUCUCCAUCAUAUCUACUUUUCCAAACACUUUUGCCCUUGUUUUGGACUCUAACUUGCAUGAUUUGAAUGGAACUAACCCGGACUGACGCUGUUUUCAGCAGAAUUGCAAUGGUGUUAUUUUUGUGCAGAAAUAAAAGUUCUCAGAAUGACCUGAAACUUCACGGAGAAUAUUUUUGGAAUUAAUAAAAAAUACUGGCGAAAGAAUCAAGGCCAGGGGGCCCACACCCUAUCCACGAGGGUGGGGGCGCGCCUACCCCCGUGGGCGCACCCCCUGCCUCGUGGGCCCCCUGGUGCUCCACCGACCUCAACUCCAACUCUAUAUAUUCACGUUCGGGGAGAAAAAAUCGGAGAGAAGGAUUCAUCGCAUUUUACGAUACGAAGCCGCCGCCAAGCCCUAAUCUCUCUCGGGAGGGCUGAUCUGGAGUCCGUUCGGGGCUCCGGAGAGGGGAAUCCGUCGCCAUCGUCAUCAUCAACCAUCCUCCAUCACCAAUUUCAUGAUGCUCACCGCCGUGCGUGAGUAAUUCCAUCGUAGGCUUGUUGGACAGUGAUGGGUUGGAUGAGAUUUACCAUGUAAUCAAGUUAGUUUUGUUAGGGUUUGAUCCCUAGUAUCCACUAUGUUUUGAGAUUGAUGUUGCUAUGACUUUGCUAUGCUUAAUGCUUGUCACUAGGGCCCGAGUGCCACGAUUUCAGAUCUGAACCUAUUAUAUUACCAUGAAUAUAUGUGAGUUCUUAAUCCUAUCUUGCAAGUCUAUAGUCACCUAUUAUGUGUUAUGAUCCGUUAACCCCGAAGUGACAAUAAUUGGGACCAUUACCGGUGAUGACCGUAGUUUGAGGAGUUCAUGUAUUCACUAAGUGUUAAUGCUUUGGUCCGGUACUCUAUUAAAAGGAGGCCUUAAUAUCCCUUAGUUUCCAAUAGGACCCCGCUGCCACAGGAGGGUAGGACAAAAGAUGUCAUGCAAGUUCUUUUCCAUAAGCACGUAUGACUAUCUUCGGAAUACAUGCCUACAUUACAUUGAUGAAUUGGAGCUAGUUCUGUGUCACCCUAUGUUAUAACUAUUGCAUGAGGAAUCGCAUCCGGCAUUAUUCUCCAUCACCGAUCCAAUGCCUACGAGCUUUUCACAUAUUGUUCUCCGCUUAGUUACUUUUCCGUAGCCACUGUUACAAUUACUACAAAACUAUCACUGUUACUUUUACCACCGUUACCGUUACUUCCAUACUACUUUGCUACUAAAUACUUUGCUGCAGAUACUAAGUUAUCCAAGUUGUUGAAUUUACAACUCAGCUGCUAAUACUUGAGAAUAUUCUUUGGCUCCCCUUAUGUCAAAUCAAUAAAUUUGGGUUGAAUACUGUACCCUCGAAAACUCUUGCGAUCCUCUAUACUUGUCGGUUAUCAAGACUAUUUUCUGGCACCGUUGCCGGGGAGCAUAGCUCUAUUCUUUGAGUCACUUGGGAUUUAUAUCUGCUGGUCACUAUGAGCAACUUGAAAGACGAAAGAACUAAGAUUUUUCCUCAACUACGAGGGGAGGUAAGGAACUGCCAUCUAGCUCUGCACUUGAUUCACCUUCUGUUUUGAGUAAGCUUGCGACACCUAAACCUCCUUCCGCUAUUUAUUCUGAUAUGUCGCAUGUUAUUGAUGAUGCCACUUCUGAUAUGCAUGAUACUUAUGAUGAAACUACUUCUAUGCUUGAUACUACUGUGCCAUUAGGUGAAUUUCUUGAUGAACAACUUGCUAGGGCUAGAGAGAAUGAAAUUAUUGAAACUGAUAAUAUUGAUGAAAGUGAUGAUGAAGAUUCUCCCCCUAGAUAUGAAUUUCCUGUUGUGCCUGAGGGUUAUGUUAUGGAUGAAGAAACUGCUAGAGACUUUCUUGCUAGCAAUGAUAGGAGUGAUCUUAAGAAAUUAUUAGUUAAGCUGAAAGAAAAAUCUCUGAAUGCUAGAAUGAAAUAUGACCCUGCUUUUGCUACUUCACCUAUCUUUAUUACUAAUAAGGAUUGUGAUUUCUCUGUUGAUACUGAGAUAAUUACUUUGGUUGAAUCUGAUCCUUUUUAUGGCUAUGAAUCUGAAACUGUUGUGGCACAUCUUACUAAAUUAAAUGAUAUAGCCACCAUGUUCACUAAUGGUUGAAUCUGAUCCUUUUUAUGGCUACUACUAUAUCCUUAAAUUAUUUCCGUUCUCAUUAAAGGGUGAUGCUAAGAUAUGGUUUAAUUCUCUUGACCCUGGUUGUGUGCGUAGUCCCCAGGAUAUGAUUUAUUACUUCUCUGCUAAAUAUUUCCUCGCUCAUAAGAAACAAGCUGCUUUAAGGGAAAUAUAUAAUUUUGUGCAAAUUGAAGAAGAGAGUCUCCCACAAGCUUGGGGGAGGCUUCUCCAAUUACUUAAUGCUUUGCCUGAUCACCCUCUCAAGAAAAAUGAAAUACUUGAUAUCUUUUAUAAUGGACUAACCGAUGCUUGCAGAGACCACCUGGAUAGUUGUGUUAGUUGUGUUUUCAGGGAAAGAACAGUUGAUCAAGCUGAAUUGCUAUUGAAUAAUAUGUUAACUAAUCUAUCUAUCUAUACCUAUACUAAUUUGGCACUUCCUACAAAAUCUCACGUUAAUUAGAGAAAAUUAAAAAAUAGAGACCAUUGAUUUGAUGGGUCCGAAUUAUAAUGGUUCAGAUCUAACAUAGAAAUGUCCGUGUUAAUUAAUAAAAUAGGCCUUUGAUUUGGUGGUCCAAAUUAUAACAGUUCAGAUCCUGGCUAAAUCUAUCUAUCACGGUUGUUAAAAUAGAUAGAGGGAAAAAACUCUCAUAUCAAUCUCCACAUAUCCUUGAAAGGCUACGUAGUGUUUUCUCAGGAAAAAAUAGAAGUACGGUGUGUUUUCUCAAGAAAAUAGAAGUACGUAAUGUAACAGAACUCCUAGCUUUUCACGGUUGUUAAAACAAAAGGAAAAAAACUGUCUAGAAUCUAGAUCUCUACGUAUAACCUUUUCAUCUCUCCAUUAGAAAAAGAGAAAUCUGUAGCAAUGUUUGUCUAACUAUUCUAUGAUCUAUUCCUUCUCACUAAAAAAAUCAACAACCUGAAGUAAUCUCCAUGGUCUCUUCCGCUUCUGAUGCGAUCUUGCGGCAGGGACAUCGUCGUUCCCUUCUCCCAUUGAGAAGUAAGUGCAUUACCAUCGCCUCUCCUCUCCCAUGGAAAAAAACUCAUCGCCUUAAGCAAGCAGGCUAGGGCGUGGAUUGGGUGUGCUAAAAGAGCUUAUUUCAUCAAAAUUGUUUGGACUAAUUGCAUACGAACUCUGUUUCUAUGCAGUCUUUUCUAUACAUGCAUGCCUCCUAUGCAUCAAUGUCAGAGUCAUCAACCAUAAAAGAAAACUGAUGGUAAUGCUGCCAUCCACAAAGGAUUUCCUCCCCAUGCAACCUUGUAUGUGUGCCCUCAACAUCAGCCUCCUCCGCAUGUUUGAUACUGUCUGCCACGUUGAUUAUUGAUUACCAAUUUUAUAGUGCCCCAAUUUUGCAGUCAUCCAAUAUAGGGGCAAGCCCAACCUCAACGAUGCAGCCAAGGGCCUCAAGGCAAUACACACGUAUGAGGUUAAACUGAUCAGUUUGGAUCUCUUCAACAUCAAGUUGUCACCAUGCCGCAAUCCAUACCAUCCCUAUUUUGUCCAAUUAACUAAUCUGUGGUAGGCGUGACUGUAGUUGAUGUUGAUCGUGCAAUUCUGCAGUGCCAUCGUUGGCCAGGUUGUUUGAGUGGAGGAACUGCGACAGAUAUAUGAAGCCAGCUGGGGUGGUCUCUACUUCGUCUGCAUUGGCAACACAUAAUUCAAACAAUAAUGCUUCGUGUGUGAUCUAUCAAAUCAAAUGGUGCGCAUACUGUCCACUGUUAUUUCGAUCAAGCAUGAUUAUGGAUAUUUCUACAUGGUCAACACAAUCAGUUGUUAUGUUAUGUUCCCUGUAGAGAUAUAUUGACUCUUCUAACUAUAUCCCUAAAAAAAUAUACACUCCAAAUCUCCCAUUAUCUGGUGUGUAUCUGAUUCUUCUACCUUUCAUCAUUUAGCCGAGGUAUGUUGCCUAUACUUUUACUUCACAUACCAACUUACCACUUUUAAGAUCACGACUAAUUGAGUAGUAAUGUUAUCUUGGUAGAUCUGACAGUUUGAUUUUACAGCUCAUAGGCAUGAAAAUGAAGCGUGCUGCAUAUAAUAUUUCAGCUGUACCCAUUUAAUUUACAAAUUUCCUACUCAUAUGAUUUGCCUAUUUGUUUUGAGAUAUAAUCAUAUAACCUAUCGAAGUAUAAUGUUUAUGUGUUUUUUAUAACUUGAUUGUUAUGUUGAUCUGAAUAUUAAUUAAAUAGUAUAGGAGCCAAACUAAACCAUCCAACGUUCGUGAUUUAUACGAAAACAAUUGUGCUUUGCGUCGCAUGUAACAUAGGUAAACUGGGCGUUUGGGGCUCAAUCUGUCACAUCUCUCUAUUUGAUGCGAAUCAUCUUAUUGUCCUAUUGUUGUUUGAUCACUGGUGCAUAAAUCUCUAUUCUGCUAAUCUAGCAUUCAUGUCUCACUCGCUUAUACUUGCAGGCUAUUCGAAGAAUCCAUCCAAACCAAGACCCAGUUCAAUGAAGACUGAUGGUUCCGACGCUCCUAGACCAAUAUGUAAAGAAGUAAUUAUAAGUACUCGGGAAAGUUAUGAUAUGCAUCAUGUAAUUCGACUAGCCCCAUUUUGCUUAGUGCUUUUACAAUCCAAUGCCAUGACAAAAAAGCAACUCGGUUAUUACUGAGUUCUACCUAAUUGAUUACGGUUUUUUAUUCUUAUUUUCUCCCGAUUCCCUCCAAGAUGAUCACUGUAUUCGCCCCGUUGAACUGGCAUUGGAUAGAAAAAUCAGCUGAUGUGCCAUGACCUCGGUACAUAUUGAACACCCGACACAAGAUGUAUGCAGCAGUUAUGCGUGGUACGAUGGGUGCACAAAUAAGCAAGUAAGCAUAUGGUGACACAUAAGAUUUCAUAUGUGUCAUAGUAGUUGCUCGACCCGUAUAAAAUCAAUAUUAUUGGCUCUUAAUUAAGAUAAAACCACUAGAUGCUAUUGAUAAAUUUAUAUCCAUGGCACCUUUGGUCCUUCCACUCCUCCAUACCCUAUCGAGAAGAGGUCAAUAUCAUAUGUGAUGGCACACUCAAGCGAUGAAUUGGACUGGGCACCCGAGGACGAACGUACGACUUGGUCGUGAUGGACACCAGAUGAACUACGUGUUUGUAUAUUGUUUCAAAAAUAAUAGGUCAUUAAUGAUUCUUCUUUGUCUAUGUACCACAUAUCCAAACAUCAGUAGAAGCAUUUCUUCCAAAUGCAUGUCUUUAUUUCAUUUGUAGGGAACCAAAUGCAUGUGUAUGAUGACUAUUAAAUUCUUUAGCAACUUCUUUACCUCACAAUUAAUUGAAAGAAUAUCAACUUUCUUGCAUGAUAAUUUAUGUUUGUUCUUACUAUUUUUUGUAGAAAAAUACGAUUAGGAAAACCAAAAAUUGCACAACAUAGUUUUGCAAAUAAUAAUCCAUACAUGUCACAAAUAAGUAAUGUUUUGCAUAUGGCUUAAGUCAAACUUCUAAAUUCCUUGAUUUCUAUAGACACGUUAUAAUUGAAAUUAGUGAUCAGGAGAAUAGGCAAUAAUACCUCUACAAAUAUUAAGAGAUAGUUCGUGUGCAUUAAUGCUCGAAUCUAUAUAUGCAUAAGUGGAGACAAGCAACAUAUUCAGCAACCAGUCCACGUGCUUUUUAAAUGAGGCAAACAACUGUACACUUAAGGUGACAAUUCUCGCAUGAAAUGGUUCUAUGAUGUGAGUUCAUUAUUUCUGCCCAUAUAUGAAAAUAGAAACAAUAUGAAGAUCCCAUAUGCCGUUGUCUCAGAACACAUAUUUGUUGGUGCCAAUUUAAUUUUGGUCUGCCUGACAUACCCACAACUUAUUCGUACAAACGCAGUCUGUGAUGAAUCAAGAUAUUUCAUAUCCUUUAGGUUCCAAUGGUAUGCCCUGUCAAUACAGUUGUACACAUCACAUAACUAUGUUCUAUAUGGUUCUAACAUAAUGUUAUGUACUUGGCCCGUGCGAACGCACGGCUUCAUGACUAGUGAACAUAAUUGGACACUUCCUGAACCAGCUCCUAAGCCAACUCCGAAGAAAAGGGGUAUUCUAUUUCUCAGUCCUGAAGAUAUGCAAGAGGCAAAGAAAUCUAUGAAAGAGAAGGGUAUUAAAGCUGAAGAUGUUAAGAAUUUACCUCCUAUUGAAGAAAUACAUGGUCUUAAUUUACCGUCUCUUGAAGAAAUACAUGGUCUUGAUAACCCGACACAGGUAGUAAAGGUAAAUUCCCUCUAUAGAUUUGAUGAAGGUGAUAUUCCUCAUUAUAAGUCUGCUAGCCAAUGCUUAGAUGAGUUUGAUAAUUUUAUUGUGAAACAAGAAAACUUCAAUGCUUAUUUUGGUAGACAAUUGAAACGCAAUGCUUAUAUGCUUGAACACUUGAGUGAUUAUAUGGCUAGUGUUAAAGGUGAACUUAAACUUAUUAGUAAGCAUGCUUCUAUGGUUACCACUCAAGUAGAACAAGUACUCAAAGCUCAAAAUGACUUGCUCAAUGCAUUAAAUUAUAAGAAAAAUGACUUUGUUGUUAGAGUUGCAACUAGAGGAGGUAAAGUGACUCAAGAACCCUUGUAUCCUGAGGGUCACCCUAAGAGAAUUGAGCAAGAUUCUCAGAGAACUAAUGUUGAUGCACCUAGUCCUUUUAAGAAGAAGAAAAAGAAAAAUGAUAGGACUUUGCAUGCUUCUAGUGAACCUGUUGUUGACACACCUGAGAAUCCCAAUGAUAUUUCUAUUUCUGAUGCUGAAACACAAUCUGGUAAUGAACAUGAACCUAGUGAUAAUGUUAAUGAAGAUGUUCAUGUUGAUGCUCAACCUAGCAAUGAUAAUGAUGUAGAGAUUGAACCUGCUGUUGAUCUUGAUAACCCACAAUCAAAGAAUCAACGUUAUGAUAAGAGAGACUUCAUUGCUAGGAAGCACGGUAAAGAAAGAGAACUAUGGGUUCAGAAACCCAUGCCUUUUCCUCCCAAACCAUCCAAGAAAAAGGAUGAUGAGGAUUUUGAGCGCUUUGCUGAAAUGAUUAGACCUAUCUUCCUGCGUAUGCGUUUUACUGAUAUGCUUAAAAUGAAUCCUUAUGCUAAGUAUAUGAAGGAUAUUGUUACAAAUAAGAGAAAGAUACCGGAAGCUGAAAUUUCCACCAUGCUUGCUAAUUAUACUUUUAAGGGUGGAAUUCCUAAGAAACUAGGAGAUCCAGGAGUACCAACUAUACCAUGCUCCGUUAAAAGAAACUAUGUUAGAACUGCUUUAUGUGAUCUUGGAGCCGCUGUUAGUAUUAUGCCUCUCUCUUUAUAUCGUAGACUUGAUUUGAAUAAGUUGACACCUACUAAAAUAUAUUUGCAAAUGGUUGAUAACUCAACCGCUAUACCUGUCGGUAUUUGUGAGGAUGUGCCUGUUGUGGUUGCAAACGUUACUAUUUUAACGGGCUUUGUUAUUCUUGAUAUUCCCGAAGACGAUAGUAUGUCUAUUAUUCUUGGAAGACCCUUUUUGAAUACUGCAGGGGCUGUUAUUGAUUGCAACAAAGGCAAUGUCACUUUUCAUGUUAAUGGUAAUGAGCAUACGGUACACUUUCCGAGGAAACAACCUCAAGUCCACAGUAUAAACUCUAUGGGAAAAAUUCCAUAAAUUGUUAUUGGAGGUUUUGAAUUUCCUCUUCCUACUGUCAAGAAGAAAUAUGAUAUUCUUAUUGUUGGGGAUGUGCAUAUCCCCGUUGAGGUAGCAUAGUGUUAUUCGCAAUUUCUCCGGUUCCAUGUUAUUCGAAAUGAGUUAGAAAGCACAACCUUCUGUACCCUCAUUUCACUUUCUGUUAUUUAGAUUAAAUAAAGCAAAAAUAGUAUUUUCUGUCUAUUUUCUGAAUUAUCCAUGCAAUAAAAAAUACCCCGAAAAUAAAAGUUCUCCAAAUGCCCCGAAAAUGAAAUAUGAUUUUUCUGGAAUAUUUGAGAAUAUCUGGCACUGAGAACACAGCAGGGGGAGCAAGCACCUGGCCAUAAGGGUCCAGGGCGCGCCCACCCCCUGGGUGCGCCCCUGCCUCGUGGGCCCCUGGUGGCUCCCCUCCACUUAUUCCAGCCACCACACGCUCCUUCUUCCUCCCAAAAAAAAUCACCAACCAGCUCAAGCACGAGUUCUAGCUCAUCUUGCUGCGAUUUUCGAUCUCCUUGCUGAAAGCUCCACUCACAAAACUGCUUUGGGGAAUUAUUCUUCGAUAUGUGACUCCUCCAAUGGUCCAAUUAGUUUUUGUUCUAGUGCUUUAUUCAUUGCAAAUUUUUUCUGCCUAGGUGACCCUGUUCUUGAGCUUGCAUGUCAAAUUUAUAUGGUCCCAAGUAGUUCUAAUGCAUGAUAUAGUCUCUAGGCACUUGUGGGAGUAGUUGCUAUCAAUUUUGUUGAUUUUGGUUCACUUUUAUUUUGAGUUACUAAAAAUUUCAGAAAUUUCCAGAAAAUGAUGAAGAGAUUAUUGAGGGGCUCUUCGAGCCGAAGCUCGAAGGAUAAACAAAGUGAAGAGGAUAAGAGGCCCAAAUAUAAUCUCCCUCGCACCGCGGAAGUUCGGCCGUGUGAAUGGCCUUGUGAUGAUUUCUUGAAGGCAACCGGGAUUCAUGAUGAUUUUUAUUCUUUGGCUGAGAAUGCGGGCCUCACCGACUUCCUCCGCGACCAGCGCGAACAGUAUCUCCUACUCACUAAUAUUUUUCAGCAAAAUUUUCAUUUCCAUGCUAACAGAUCACCACCCUCGGUGGAUUUUUUAUCUAUAUGAUGAGUAUAAGGAGAUGUCCCUUUUCGAUUAUGUCGUGUCUGUAAGAUACCCUUUACAGGCAGCAUAGAAGAACCACAUCGUAAUGAUGUGGAAGGGUUUAUUGAUAUGAUUGCUGUAGGGGAAACAAGGAAAGUUUCUGAUGCAAGAAUUACUAGCAUACAUUUUCCAGUUCUGCGUUACUUUGCGAUAUUUGCUAGUAGAUGUUUAAUUGGUCGCGGAAACUGUGGAAACCUUAGUGCCCCUGAUAUUGUUAUUUUGGGCCAUGCCUUGUUUCGUGAUAACUCUUUUAGUCUAGGCGCUAUCGUUGCCAAACGGUGAAGUCUAAACCGCACGAAGGGUCCCAUCUUGGGAGGUAUCUUCGCCUCGCACCUUGCUGCACACUUUAACAUACCUAUUAGGCAUUAUGAGAAAGAAGAAAAGCUGAUGCCUCCUGUUUUUCUAGAUUAUAAGAGUAUGGUAGCACAUGACUUUAUUGUUAAAAAUAAGAAAAAGAUGCUUAACUACAAACUGUUAUUUGAUAAAAAUCACCCUGAGACUAUUACUUUGCCUGUUCCUUCUUUGUUUAACUUAUCUUCAAGCAAGUAUCUUGUUCAGCCGGAGGCAUUUCAUGCCUACCAGAACCCCACACCAGCUACAGAGCCAGAGCUGGAACCACAACUUGAUCCUUCACGUCAGUCUGUUUACCAGUGGGAUCCGGAGGAGAUUGCCAACCAGUGGCAACCCGAGGCUCCUUCUCAGUACGACCCCAACUACAACUUUGAUCCAUGGGCAUAGACCAACUUAGGCCAAAAGCCUAAGCUUGGGGGAGUACGUAUUUCUCACCGGCAUUUCAUUCAUGUUCACACACUCAUUCUAUUUGUCGGUACUCAUACUUUUUCACUGUAAUAUCCUUGCUAGUUUAUUUUCUUUUUCUCGCUUUCUUCUUGUGUGUUUGAUAAACCUUAAGAAAAAACAAAAAAAUUAGUUGUAGCUUUCAGCUAGUUUACUUUUCAUGCCUGUAGUAGUAAUAAUUAAAAGAAAAGCCAAAAAGAUUUCUCGUUCUUCUUUUGCUUGUUGGGAGCUUUCCCGUGUAAAUAGUUUUAUUUCUUUUCUUUUCUUUGGGGGUCGAGAGGAGAAGACCAUAAUGAAAAUGUUUAAGUGGCUCUUAUAUGCAUUAUUGUUGAUUUAACAAAGAGCCCAUAUUAUCUUGUCUUCUCCUGUGUGUCAGAUGCCUGCAGAUUCCAGCUUAGUCCAAUGCACGUGCCUAUUAUUAUUAUACACACGGUUCGGUCGUGCAAGUGAAAGGCAAUAAUGACGAUAUAUGAUAGACUGAUUGAGAUGAGAGAAUCUGGUAUGAACUCGACCUCUCUUGUUUUUGUAAAUAUGAUUAGUUCAUUGUUCCUGAUUCAGCCUAUUAUGAAUGAACAUGUUUGCAAUGACAAUUAGAGAUUAUAGUUGCUUAUGCCAUGCUUAAUUAGCUAGGAGUUUAUAAUUGUUUACCUUGCGUGCCAACAUGCUAUUAAAAUGGUUGUGAUGUGGUAUGAUAGGGUGGUAUCCUCCUUUGAACGAUUCGAGUGACUUGACUUGGCACAUGUUCACACAUGUGGUUGAAACAAAAUCAACAUAGCCUCCACGAUAUUUAUGUUCAUGGUGGAUUAUAUCCUACUCAUGCCUGCGCUCAAUGUUUAUUAAUUUUAAUGCAUGUUCAUUACUAUUGUCGCUCUCUAGUUGGUUGCUUCCCAGUCUUUUUCUAGCAUUCACUUGUACUAAGCGGGAAUACUGCUUGUGCAUCCACUUCCAUAAACCCCAAAGUUAUUCCAUAUGAGUCCACCAUACCUUCCUAUAUGCGGUAUCUACCUGCCGUUCCAAAUAAAUAUGUAUGUGCCAAACUCUAAACCUUCAAAUAAAACUUUGUUUUGCAUGCUCGAAUAGCUCAUGUAUCAACUACGGUUGUCUGUAUCUUCCAUGCUAGGCGGGUUAUUCUCAAGAGGAGUGGACUCCGCUCCUCACUCACGAGAAAAUGGCUGGUCACCGGGAUGCCUAGUCCCAUGCUCUAAGCGAAUCAAAUCGAAAUAAUUGCAAACAAAACUCCCCCGGGACUCUUGUUAGUUGGAGGCACUCGUUGUUUCGAGCAAGGCAUGGAUUGAUGCUUGUUGGUGGAGGGGGAGUCUAAACUUUACCAUUCUAUUUGGGAAUCGCCUAUAAUGUGUGUAGCAUGGAAGAUAUCGAGAUCUCUCGGUUGUUAUGUUGACAAUGAAAGUAUGCCGCUCAAAAUAUUAUUCAUCUCUAUUUCAAAAUCGAGCUCUGGCACCUCUACAAAUCCUUGCUUCCCUCUGCGAAGGGCCUAUCUAUUUACUUUUAUGUUGAGUCAUCACCCUCUUAUUAAAAAGCACCAGCUGGAGAGCACCGCUGUCAUUUGCAUCCAUUACUAUUAAUUUAUAUUGGGUAUGACUAUGACUGGAUCUCUUUUACCAUGAAUUACAAUGUUUAGUCAGUCCUUGAUCUUCAAAGGUGCUCUGCAUUUAUGUUUUGCGGUCUCAGAAAGGGCUAGCGAGAUACCAUGCAUCUUGUUAUAUCAUAUUAUGAUUGUUUUGAGAAAGUGUUGUCAUCCGAGAUUUAUUAUUAUUGCUCGCUAGUUGAUUAUGCCAUUGAUAUGAGUAAAUAUGAGACCUAAGUGUUAUUGUGAAUAUGGUUAGUUCAUAAUAUUUGCUGAAAACUUGAAUGCUGGCUUUACAUAUUUACAACAACAAGAGCAAACAGAGUUUGUAAAAGUUUUUCUUUAUCACUUUCAGUUUGUGAACUGAAUUGCUUGAGGACAAGCAAAGGUUUAAGCUUGGGGGAGUUGAUACGUCUCCAUCGUAUCUAAUUUUCCAAACACUUUUGCCCUUGUUUUGGGCUCAAACUUGCAUGAUUUGAAUGGAACUAACCCGGACUGACGCUGUUUUCAGCAGAAUUGCCAUGGUGUUAUUUUUGUGCAGAAAUAAAAGUUCUCGGAAUGACCUCAAACUUCACGGAGAAUAUUUUUGGAAUUAAUAAAAAAUACUGACGAAAGAAUCAAGGCCAGGGGGCCCACAACCUGUCCACGAGGGUGGGGGCGCGCCUACCCCUUGGGCGCGCCCCCUGCCUCGUGGGCCCCCUGGUGCUCCACCGACCUCAACUCCAACUCUAUAUAUUCACGUUCGGGGAGAAAAAAAAUUGGAGAGAAGGAUUCAUCGCGUUUGACAAUACGGAGCCGCUGCCAAGCCCUAAUCUCUCUCGGGAGGGCUGAUCUGGAGUCCGUUCGGGGCUCCAGAGAGGGGAAUCUGUCGCCAUCGUCAUCAUCAACCAUCCUCCAUCACCAAUUUCAUGAUGCUCACCACCGUGCGUGAGUAAUUCCAUCGUAGGCUUGCUGGACAGUGAUGGGUUGGAUGAGAUUUACCAUGUAAUGAAGUUAGUUUUGUUAGGGUUUGAUCCCUAGUAUCCACUAUGUUCUGAGAUUGAUGUUGCUAUGACUUUGCUAUGCUUAAUGCUUGUCACUAGGGCCCGAGUGCCAUGAUUUCAGAUCUGAACCUAUUAUGUUUCCAUGAAUAUAUGUGAGUUCUUGAUCCUAUCUUGCAAGUCUAUAGUCACCUAUUAUGUGUUAUGAUCCGUUAACGCCGAAGUGACAAUAAUCGGGACCAUUACCGGUGAUGACUGUAGUUUGAGGAGUUCAUGUAUUCACUAAGUGUUAAUGCUUUGGUCCAGCACUCUAUUAAAAGGAGGCCUUAAUAUCCCUUAGUUUCCAAUAGGACCCCGCUGCCACGGGAGGGUAGGACAAAAGAUGUCAUGCAAGUUCUUUUCCAUAAGCAUGUAUGACUAUAUUCGGAAUACAUGCCUACAUUACAUUGAUGAAUUGGAGCUAGUUCUAUGUCACCCUAUGUUAUAACUAUUGCAUGAGGAAUCGCAUCCGGCGUAAUUCUCCAUCACCGAUCCAAUGCCUACGAACUUUUCACAUAUUGUUCUCCGCUUAGUUACUUUUCCGUAGCCACUGCUACAAUUACUACAAAACUACCACUGUUACUUUUGCCACCAUUACCGUUACUUCCAAACUACUUUCCUACUAAAUACUUUGCUAUAGAUACUAAGUUAUCCAGGUGUGGUUGAAUUGACAACUCAGCUGCUAAUACUUGAGAAUAUUCUUUGGCUCCCCUUGUCUCGAAUCAAUAAAUUUGGGUUGAAUACUCUACCCUCGAAAACUGUUGCGAUCCCCUAUACUUGUGAGUUAUCAGAAGCCCCGAGCUAUUAUUGGAUAUACUCUUAAUAAUUUAAAGGGCAUUAGUCCCACUCUAUGUCAGCACAAUAUUAAUAUGGAAUCGGAUGCUAAACCCGUUGUUGAUCACCAACCUUGGUUAAAUCCGAAGAUGAAAGAAGUGGUAAGAACGGAGAUAUUAAAACUUCUGGAAGCAGGUAUAAUCUAUCCUAUAGCUGAUAGUAGAUGGGUAAGUCAUGUUCAUUGUGUCCCUAAGAAAGGAGGUAUUACUGUUGUUCCUAAUGAUAAGAAUGAGCUCAUUCCACAAAGAAUUGUUACAGGUUAUAGAAUGGUAAUUGAUUUUAGAAAAUUAAACAAAGCAACUAGAAAAGAUCAUUACCCUCUCCCUUUUAUUGAUCAAACGCUAGAAAGAUUAUCUAAGAACACACACUUUUGCUUCCUUGAUGGAUAUUCUGGUUUUUCACAAAUACCUGUUUCUCAAUCUGAUCAAGAAAAAACCACUUUCACUUGUCCCUUUGGAACUUAUGCUUAUAGACGUAUGCCUUUUGAUUUAUGCAAUGCACCUUCUACCUUUCAAAGAUGUAUGACUGCUAUAUUCUCUGACUUUUGUGAAAAGAUUGUAGAGGUUUUCAUGGAUGACUUCUCUGUUUAUGGGAAGUCUUUUGAUGAUUGUUUAAGCAAUCUUGAUCGAGUUUUGCAGAGAUGCGAGUAAACAAAUCUUGUCCUGAAUUGGGAGAAGUGCCACUUUAUGGUUAAUGAAGGUAUUGUUUUGGGCCAUAAAAUUUCUGAAAGAGGUAUUGAGGUGGACAAAGCUAAGGUUGAUGCAAUUGAGAAAAUGCCAUUUCCUAAAGAUAUCAAAGGUAUUCGUAGUUUCCUAGGUCAUGCUGGUUUCUAUAGAAGAUUUAUCAAAGACUUUUCAAAAAUUUCUAGGCCUAUUACAAAUCUUUCGCAAAAGGAUGUUCCUUUUGUUUUUUAUGAUGAUUGUUUAGAAGCCUUGGAGACACUCAAGAAAGCCUUAAUUUCUGCACCUAUUGUUCAACCACCUGAUUGGAACUUGCCUUUUGAAAUUAUGUGUGAUGCUAGUGAUUAUGCUAUUGGUGUUGUUCUAGGACAAAGAGUUGAUAAGAAACUGAAUGUUAUUCAUUAUGCUAGUAAAACUCUAGACAAUGCACAACAGAAUUAUGCAACUAUUGAAAAAGAAUUCCUAGCAGUGGUGUUUGCUUGUGAUAAAUUUACAUCUUACAUUGUUGACUCUAAAGUUAUUGUUCACACCGGUCAUGCUGCUAUUACAUAUCUUAUGGAAAAGAAAGAUGCUAAACCUAGACUUAUUCGAUGGGUUCUCUUGUUAAAAGAAUUUGAUUUACAUAUUACUGAUAGGAAAGGAGCAGAGAACCCUGUAGCUGAUAACUUGUCGGCUUGAAAAUGUGCUUGAUGACCCACUACCUAUCGAUGAUAGUUUUCCUGAUGAGCAGUUAGCUGCAAUAAAUGUUUCUAAUAACACUCCUUGGUAUGCUGAUUAUGCUAAUUAUAUUGUUGCUAAAUGUUUACCACCUAGCUUUGCAUACCAACAAAAGAAAAAAAUUCUUCUAUGAUUUAAGACAUUACUUUUGGGAUGACCCACAUCUUUAUAAAGAAGGAGUAGAUGUUAUUAUUAGACAUUGUGUACCUGAGCAUGAAUAGGGAUAAAUCCUACGAAAAUGUCACUCCGAAGCUUAUGGAGGGCAUCAUGCUGGAGACAGAACUGCUCAUAAGGUAUUGCAGUCUAGAUUUUAUUGGCCUACUCUCUUCAAGGAUGCCCGUAAGUUCGUCUUAUCUUGUGAUGAAUGCCAAAAAAUAGGUAAUAUCGGUAAGCGUCAAGAAAUGCCUAUGCAUUAUUCACUUGCUGUUGAACCAUUUGAUGUUUGGAGAUUUGAUUACAUGGGACCUUUUCCUUCCUCUAAUGGGUAUACGCAUAUUUUGGUUGUUGUUGAUUAUGUUACUAAAUGGGUAGAAGCUAUUCCAACCAGUAGUACUGAUCACAAAACCUCUAUUAAAAUGCUUAAGGAAGUUAUUUUUCCAAGGUUUGGAGUCCCUAGAUAUUUAAUGACUGAUGGUGGUUCACACUUUAUUCAUGGUGCUUUUCGUAAAAUGCUUGCCAAGUAUGAUGUUAACCAUAGAAUUGCAUCACCUUAUCAUCCUCAGUCUAGUGGUCAAGUUGAACUUAGCAAUAGAGAAAUAAAAUUAAUUUUACAAAAGACUGUCAAUAGGUCCCGGAAUGGUCUAAGAAAUUAGAUGAUGCACUUUGGGCUUCUAGAACAUCAUAUAAAAAUCCUAUGGGUAUGUCUCCUUAUAAAAUGGUUUAUGGAAAAGCUUGUCAUUUGCUUCUUGAGUUAGAACAUAAAGCAUAUUGGGUAGUCAAAGAAUUCAACUAUAAUUUCAAACUUGCCGGUGAAAAGAGGUUAUUUGAUAUUAGCUCAUUAGAUGAAUGGAGAACCCAAGCUUAUGAAAAUGCCAAGUUAUUUAAAGAGAAAGUUAAAAGAUGGCAUGAUAAAAGAAUCCAAAAGCGUGACUUCAAAGUUGGAGACUAUGUUCUUUUGUACAACUUUCGUUUCAGAUUCUUUGCAGGAAAACUCCUCUCCAAAUGGCAAGGACCCUAUGUUAUCGAGGAGGUUUAUCGGUCUAGAGCUUUCAAAAUAAAUAAUGCCGAAGGUACUAACCCAAAGGUUGUCAAUGGGCAACGAAUAAAACAUUAUAUCUCAGGUACGCCCAUUAAUGUUGAAAGUAAUAUUAUCCAAACUAUGACACCGGAAGAGCACAUAACCGAGUCCUUCUGGAACACUCCAAAAUCGUGAAAAUAAGGUGGUACAUGAUACGGUAUGUAAACGGACUCCGAAAAUCUGCAAAAAUAUUUUUUGUCAGUUUUAGAAUAUUUAGAAAAUUAGGAAAAUAAGAAACAAUCAGGAAGCGUACCCUAGUGGGCACAAGACACCAGGGCGCGCCUGCCAGGCGCACCUAGGUGGGUUGUGCCCACCUGGGGCACCUUCCGGACCCCGUUUUUCUUCCGUUUGCUUGUCUCCCAAGAUAAAAAUUCUUUAUAUACCCCCCGAACCUAUUGACCAUCGUAUUGCGGAGAAAUCUUCUGUUUUAUUUUCCUUGAUGUUUUCUGUCAGAUCCCAUCUACCAUGGCCGCUUCAAGCUCCUCCAAGGACAAGUUCUUCAAGAACGUCAUCAACCCAUAUUUGUGGGAGGUGGUGCAGCACCCUCAGGCCAUCGAGAUGCAUGAGGGGGUGCUGCACAUCCGCGAUGUGCAAGGACCCAAGGGGAUGGGAACCAUGGAGGCCAGGCUUGAAGCUAUGGAGCAGGAAGUCUUCCGGUGCAAGGGGAUGGUGGAGCGUGGACUUAAUGCCAAUCACCUAAUGAUUACAGACUUUACCCAUGAUCUCACUGUGGAUGGCAAGCCCAUGAAGGACAUCGUCUUCACCCUCAACGAGGAAAUCAACUUCCUCCAAAGCCAGAUCUAUGAUCUUCAAAACCAAGUCUUUGAAUAUGAGGCGAGGUUUAAAGGUAUGAGUUUAGCUGCCAGAUUCAGGACCCGUGAGACUCAUUCUUCCUCUUACGAUGGUGGACCUCUGCCAUGGAAACCCGAGGACAAGGUCGCAUCUUCUUCAUCACCACCACCUUCUUCUUCAUCACCAAAAGAGAAUUGAGUUUUGGGUAUAUGGGCACUCCCCUUGGCUUUCGCCAAGCUUGGGGGAGGUGCCCCGAUAUCGUAUCAUCCCCACUAUCUUUUGCCUUUACUUAUUUUAGUUUGAUCUUUUUCUUUAGUUGAAUAAAAGUUUAGUUUGAUCCUUUCUUUUCGAGAGCUUGCUUAGUGAUCUAUCCUUGUAAUCGUGUGCGAGAUAUAUAACAAAGUUUAGUUUGAGUUUUUGCUUUCUUUACUUUCUUGUUGCAAUAAAAAGAAAGAAAAUAAAUGAAAAAGAUCAUAUGCUAAUCUUAUGGUAGGUGAUGGCACCACAUAAGGAAAAGUAUAAGUAGGAAAUUUUAUAAGAGAUUGACAAACAUAGCAUUGGUCAAUGAUGCAACUCAUGAAAGAACUAAUAAGGGAAGAGAAGAUUCACAUAUAAAUACACUAUCCUAGAAAUCUUUUGUGAUUGUGAGCCCCCAUCAAAAUAUUAUAUGCCAAAAUUGUUGACGUUGGACAAGGAAGACAACAUAAUAAUUUAUGUUUGUUCAUAUUCACAUAGAAGUUAUAUUGUCAUAGAUCCUUCAACAUGUGGUGCUUGCCCCCUAUCUUUGCUAGCCAAAAAUUCCGCACUAAGUAGAGAUACUACUUAUGCAUCCAAAAACCAUUAAACCCAAAUCUUAUUUUAAAGAGUCCACCAUACCUACCUAGGGAUUGAGCAAGAUCCCUCAAGUAAGUUGUCAUCGGUGCAAUAAGGCAAUAAAAAUUGCUUCUAAAAGUGUGAGAUCAUUUAGUGUAAGAGAAAAUUGAGCGUUGUACGAACUUGUGAUGGUGAAGAAUAAAAGCGACAGACUGCAUAAUAAAGGUUGCUAUCACAAGGGGCAAUACAAAGUGACGUUCUUUCGCACUAAGGGGUUGAGCAUACAAACAAAUAAGCGCAUGACAACCUCUGCUUCCCUCUGUGAAGGGCCUAUCUUUUACUUUUAUGUAUUUACUUUUAUGCAAGAGUCAAAGUUUUUCUCUCUAUUCCUUUUUACUUUUCUCCUUUGGCAAGCAUCAUGUGGUGAGGAAAGAUCUAGGCACAUAUGUCCAGUUGAAUAUGGGUGGCAUGAGUUAUUUUUGUUGACAUCGCCCUUGAGGUGAAUACGUUGGGAGGCGAAACUAUAAGCCCCUAUCUUUCUAUGUGUCCGGUUGAAACGUUUUGCUCAUGUGUAUGCGGUGAGUGUUAGCAAUCAUAGAAGACUAUAUGAUGGUUGAGUAUGUGGACUUGCCUAAAAGGCUCCGAUACGUGACCCUUCCUGAAAAGAUGAUGAAUUGUAGUUGCAAAGUUGACUGAGAACAUAGUUUGUUGGUUUCUAAUAGAGUUUAUGCUUUAUACUUCAGUUGUGUGAUGAACUGUUACUUAUUCAUGAGAAGUUUAUGAUUAAAGUCUUAUGUUUAAAUUUUUUGUUGUUAUAUUAAUAUACAUGAUGCUUCUAUGUCCGUAUUUUAUUUUUAUCGACACCUCUCUCUCUCUCUCUAAGCAUGUGGACAUGUUUUUCGAUUUAGGUUUUCGCUUGAGGACAAGCGAGGUCUAAGCUUGGGGGAGUUGAUACGUCCAUUUUGCAUCAUGUUUUCCUACUGUUAUUUAUGAUGUUUUUAUGCAUAAUAAUGCUUUUUGGAGUAAUUCUAAUCUCUUUUCUCUCAUAAUAUGCAAGGUACACACAAGAGGGAGAAUUCUGGCAGGUGGAAAUCUGGACCUGGAAAAGCUACGCCAGACCACCUAUUCUGCACAACUCCAAACAAGCUGAAACUUCAUGGAGAUUUUUUAUGGAAUAUUUGAAGAAUAUUGGAGCAAAUAACUACCAGAGGGGCCCCACAAGGUGGGCACAACCCACCUGGGCGCGCCAGGCAGCCAUGCGUGCCCUCGUGGGUUGUGCUCACCCAGGCCCACCUCCGAUGCCCAUCUUCUGGUAUAUAAGUCAUUUUGACCUAUAAAAAAUAAGGAGAGGACUUUCGGGAUGGAGCGCCGCCGUCUCGAGGAGGAACUUGGGCAGGAGCACUUUUGCCCUCCGACGGAGCGAUUCCGCCGGGGGAACUUCCCUCCCGGAGGGGGAAAUGAUCGUCAUCAUCAUCACCAACAACUAUCCCAUCUUGGGGAGGGCAAUCUCCAUCAACUUCUUCAACAACACCAUCUCCUCUCAAACCCUAGUUCAUCUUUUGCGUUCAAUCUUUGUACCGGAACUAUAGAUUGGUGCUUGUGGGUGACUAGUAGUGUUGAUUACAUCUUGUAGUUGAUUACUAUAUGGUUUAUUUGGUGGAAGAUUAUAUGUUCAGAUCCAUUAUGCUAUUUAAUACCCCUCUGAUCUUGAGCAUGAUUAUUAUUUGUGAGUAGUUACUUUUGUUCUUGAGGUCAUGGGAGAAAUCAUGUUGCAAGUAAUCAUGUGAAGUUGAUAUGUGUUCGAUAUUUUGAUCGUAUGUAUGGUGUGAUUCCCUUAGUGGUGGCAUGUGAACGUUGACUACAUGACACUUCACCAUAUUUGGGCCUAAGAGAAUGCAUUGUGGAGUAGUUAUUAGAUGAUGGGUUGCGAGAGUGACAAAAGCUUAAACCCUAGUUUAUGCGCUAUUCCGUAAGGGACCGAUUGGAUCCAAAAGUUUAAUGCUAUGGUUAGAAUUUAUUCUUAAUACUUUUCUCGUAGUUGCGGAUGCUUGCGAGGGGGUUAAUCAUAAGUAGGAGGUUUGUUCAAGUAAGAACAUCACCUAAGCACCGGUCCACCCACAUAUCAAAUUAUCAAAGUAGCGAACACAAAUCGAAUCAACAUGGUGAAAGUGACUAGAUGAAAUUCCCGUGUACCCUCAAGAAUGCUUUGCUUAGUAUAAGAGACCGUUUUGGCCUGUCCUUUGCCUCAAAUGGAUUGGGCUACCUUGCUGCACUUUUGUUACUAUCAUCAUUACUUGCUCGUUACAAAUUAUCUUGCUAUCAAACUAUUCUCUUACUUACAAUUUCAGCACUUGCAGACAUUACCUUGCUGAAAAUCACUUGUCAUUUCCUUCUGCUCCUCAUUGGGUUCGACACUCUUACUUAUCGAAAAGAGCUACAAUUGAUCCUCUAUACCUGUGGGUCAUCAGAACGACAUCGUGUUCAAUGGUGUUGCCCCGUCUCUUCCCGCGACAUUACUUAGGAUUAGGGAGGAGGGUGUUCUUUGGGUGAGGGUUGGUCUCAUGAAAGGCAACAUAGUAGGGUUUGAGGUAGAGGAUGGUGGGCCGGAUCGCGAGUAGUAGUAACUAGGUCUUCCGAUGGUGUCGGAGAAUCCUGACAUGUAAUUAUGUGUUGUAAGCGUGGACUUGGGAGUCUUCCCUUUUCUUCUUUAAUGAAUGAUACGCACACUCGUGCGUAUUCGAGGAAAAAAACAACGUAUUUCCCAUCUGCGGCAAUUCGGCUACAUACCAAUAUCACCACCCCCGCAUACAUCAUUGGACUCUCACCAUAUAGUUAGUAUCAAUGCGAGGAAUAAUUAUAUUUCCAUCAAUACCUCAAGCCCCUCAUAGGGGGAGUUGUUCAAGGCAUGUAUGUUGAUAAAAUGAGGACCAUCUACAAGCAUUAGGGGGAGAAUUCAAGUGCCAUACAGAAUGCCAGGAAAUUAGUUGAAUCUCUAACACAUUUGUGCCUCAAAUCAACAUACUGAAAGAUAUGAACACAUGUUCAAAAGAUUUGCAACACGUUGCAAAUAUCCCGCCAAAUUCAUUCAUUGAAAAUAAAGAUGUCACACAAUCCUACAAUCCUACAAAAAUAAGCUCGAAAGAGUGAAGGUACCAACAAAAACCAAACGAGUGGCUGUUCAAAGAAGUAUGUCAGGACAAGAAGGUCAAGACAAAGGUCAGAACAAAGUAUGAAUUCAUAUCUAAGAGAACAUUGGAUCAGUGCUGGAGCUUGAUGAAGAAUGUUGAAGAGGGUCAAGGAGAUUUACGCUUGAACUUUGAGUAUAUUUAAGGUUGACAAUUGAGGAGAUCCUUAUGCAUUUGGGGGGGGGGGGGGCAAUGCCCCCUGCAUACUUAUUAUUCAGUGACAAUUACUAUGCUGUUGUUUCACAACCAACACCUUGUUUUUGCUCCCAACUAUGUCAUGUUGGGUGCUCUGAUUGUUCUUCUAUACUUAUUCGUGUUGUUCCUAAUAGGGAAAGGCCAUGUAAAAGAAUUCAUCCCUAAAAUGGAAGAGCAGAAUAAGCUGAGCACCCUGCCCCCGACCUUUGGUGCCUACUGGCCAUGGCGGUAACGAAAUCCAACGAGUUAGCGUUGUUGUUUGCUUAGGAUGCCUCAAUUGCAGUUAUGUUUGUUGUAAUGUAUUUACAGCGAAAUUUCAGGCUUCAAAGCCUUCAUUCUCUCGAAUUGGUUUAUGAAAUGUCUUCUAAUCAAGUAUGUCCUGACAAAACAAUAUUGUUGGGUCAUCCGCUCUCUAUGUGGUUUGAAGGCAAGACAUUUGAAUCAAAACUGGGGCAGAUUGAUGCACUAAGGACAAGUUAGGAACCACAUUUGUUUCUGCAAGGGUGGUGAGCCAAGCAGUUCAUUGUCCGCUAUCUCCCGGACAAUGGAGCCAUACUUCACAAAUACAUGUUGUUUUGCAUACUUAAUGGUCUUCAAGAUUUACUUUUGACCACUAUUUUUUUUCUACAGCGCGCGUGCGCGCACACACACACACACACACACACACACACACAAUAGCGCUAUUUUUAGCUAUAGUGUAUGGUAUUUAUUCUACACCUCUAGUAAACUUUUGUAUAAAAUGUCCUAAAGUUGUCUAUGAAAAGUAGUAAUUACGGAGUAAAUUGUUUUUGCUAUCCAAGUUGUGUACAAAAUGUUAUCUCUCCAAUGUAGCUAAGUUGUGCAUCUAUUUUAGAACAAUGUAGUAAAACGGUGGCUCAGAUAUUAAAAAGAAGUUAUUCCAAAAUUACUACUUUGUACACAAGUUUUUUUUUUUUUGUAAAAUUUGUACCAGGCAUGUACAACAACUCUAUACUCUCCUCGUCAACUUCCAACAAAAUAUGGUGAAUUCUGCGACUAAAAUGCAUCUAUCCUCCUCGUAUCUGCUGGCAACACCCAAAGGCGGUCCUCUUGCUUCGAAAAUGCCUCGUUGCGGCCCUUAUACGCGUGAAUAUUGUCCACAUAUUGCCCCAAGAGCUAGUUACUCCUAGUGAGAGGGUGCUUGGAUGAUCAACGGCCAAUGCACUCAGAGACUUUAGAUAAGACAUCCAUUUUCUUGAGGUCUGUUAUUCUGCACCUUAGCACUCCUCAAGAAUGUGAAUUUCGCAUUACACCUUCGUUUUCUCACUCGCUGUCAUAUCUCUAACUGUACCUUUACUUGAUAUAUUGCCGCCAAUUUGCACAUGCACGAAACAUAAAAUAACAUUGAGUGAUUGAGAGAAAGCACAUGCGCAAUUUGUGUCACGUUGCAUUUUUAUCCAGAACCUGUCCUCGGCACACAACCGAGCGAACAACGAGCAGACGAACUCAAGUCAUGAUCAGAGCAGGGCGAGUUGGUUGGGGCAGUCCCCUGUACCGUGACUUUACCUUCACACAAGUAUCAUACGGGCCUACGGCUGAGGUUGGUUAGGCCAGGGCCCCCAACAGCACUGGCUUUGCACUGCGCAGCAGCUUCCAUGCAUCCCCAGCCAGGUCGACGUACAGUUCGUGGAGUACUUAAUAACGGAAGGAGGAAGCGUAAAGCCUUUGCCGAUAUUUUACUCAGGGAAAGGUACACACACUAACUCGAUGAUGCCCUCACAGAUCCUGAAACCCAUAAUGGGCUAGUGCAUAAUCACCAACCCUUAACUGUAGCCCAUGGCCCCAUUAUCGCAUGCACGAUGAUCUCAGGCAUAUGUUCAGCUAUCUCCUGAUCACUAGCUCCCACCCAACCCACUGAUAAACCCCAUCAUUCCAAAUCGAGUAUUAUACUAUUAUACUAGCACUAGCUAGUUAAAUUAUAAUUUUACCAAAUGAGAUUAUUGGAUUAAAAAUUGAUGUAAACAAGUUGUGGUUGUGGACAUGGAGAUUUUGGAGGUAGGGGAGCAGGCAGCAAGAUUCCAAUGGAAGAAACCAAAAGGAGGGCAGCAAGUUGGGGCAGGAGAGGAGGCUAACAAGAAGACAGAUCAGAGACGGGUGAGUGAGGACAGGUGCGGGUGCGGCACCAACCAGCAGCAACCGGGGCGCCGGCCCAUCUACCCUAGCCAGUGGCCACGCCGAUGCGGCGCACACGGGCUACUCCUACCUGCAUGGGUACAAAACUGGCAAUUUGUCACGUACCGCGCCAACGCCUCCAUUAAUAGUUGAAGCUCUCCGACGGGUUCCCUCCCACUCCGAGCUCCUCCUACUCGCACCAGCAUCAUCAUCAUCAUCAGUUGGUUAGCUGCGAGCUCCUCAAGAUGCAUGCUACCAGAUAGGUGGCAGUACAGGGCUGGGGAGUGUGCGCGCGUGUGUGUUGGUUUGUCGCCAUGGUUGCGGAGAUGGGAGAAGCAGCACCGGUAGCAAUGGUGGAGGCAGAGGUGGUGCCAGGGGCAGAGGGCAGCCAUGGCGAGGCGCUGAUGGUGCUCGAGACUCUGGCGUCGUCUUCCCUGGCCUGCUCCGUCCCGCAGUUCCCGACCAAGUGGAAUUCCGUCAAGGACAAGCUCCGGCAGCUCUGCUCCGGCCUCAGUUUGCUGCGCAGCAAUGGCGGCGACGGCGAGGAGGAUGAGGAGGAGGUGGAGGGGGGAGAAGGGCAUCACGUGCUGGCUCAGUUCCUGCACUCUGCUUCGGCCACCGUGAGGGGCAUCCUGGAUGUGGCCUCGCAGUGCAGCGACGGCACGUACGGCGGCGGGCGGCUGCGCCUGCGGAGCGACAUGGACGGCCUGACCGCCAAGCUGGAGGCGCACGUGCGGCAGCUCAAGGAGAUGGCCUCCACCGGCGCGUCCAGGUCGCCGUCGCAGGCCAUCGUCGCGGUGCGGCCGGGCGCCGACGCGGGCGUGGGCGAGAAGCGGUUCUUCCUCAAGGACCUCUUCUCCCGGAUCAGGAUCGGCGGGCCGGUGCAGCGGGCGCAGGCGCUGGCCACCAUCGCCGAGCUCAUGUCGGAGGACGAGGCGUGCGUGCGGGUCGUGGCGCUCGACGUCGACGACGGCGUCGCCGUGCUCGCCGGCUUCCUCGAGUCGCGGGACCCGCGCAUCCAGGAGGAGGCCGCGGGCGCCGUGGCCGUCGUGGCGGGCUCCGACUCGUACCGAGGCAUGCUGGUCAAGGCCGGCGUGGUCGCGCCGCUGGUGCAGAUGCUGGAGAACGCGGGCGGCGUGGGCGGCGCCACGGCGCUCGCCAGGGAGCGCGCGGCGCAGGCGCUGCGGGAGCUGACGGAGAACUCGGACAACGUGUGGGCCGUGUGCGCGCACGGCGGCGUCACGACGCUCCUCCACGCCUGCGCCGACGCCGGCAGCGGGGGGCGGCUGCUUAGCUCCUCCUUCGCCGUCCUCCGCAACCUGAGCAGGGUGGAGGAAGUCAAGAUGUUCAUGGUGGAGCAGGGCGUGGUGACCGAGCUGGUGAAGCUCUCGCAGAAGAUGGAGGAGGUGCGCAAGCUGGGCGCCGUGGAGCUGCUGCACGCCAUGGCGCUCGACGACGCCGACGUGAGGGAGGAGGCCAUCGGCAUGGGGGUGAUCCAGUCGCUCCUCCAGCUGAUAUACCCGGACCUCCCCUACUCCUACAAGGCGCGCGAGGUGGCCCUCGCCGCCAUCUGGUUCUUCUGCUUCUCCUCGGCGAGCUCCAUCGACGACCUGACCAGCUCCGACGUGCUGGGCUGGCUGCUCCACUACCUCAACAACGGCGACUACGCCGUGCUCGACUGCACGCUCAAGAUCCUCCGCCACCUCGCGGAGGCCUCGGAGGAGUACAGCCGGAUGAUGGCCCGGGCCGGGUACUUCGCCGCGCUCGCCGGCCUGCUCGCCGCGAAGUCCUUCCGGGUGCGCGAGAUGGCGGCGCAGGUGCUGUCCAGCCUGCUGGCGCUGCACGGGAACCGGGUCAUCUUCAUGCAGGACGGCGACAACCUGGACCGGCUGCUGCAGCUGCUCAACCCGUCCGAGGGCAAGCUGAUGGCCAAGGGGCUCAUCCUCUCCGCCGUCACGUCGCUGGCCGAGACCGGCGCCGGGAGGAAGAAGAUCGUGUCGUCGGAGCACUUCGGGAGCCUCAAGGAGCUCGCCGACUCCGGCGACCCCGACGCCAAGAAGGUCGUCAAGAAGAUCGCCAACAGCAGCAGGCUGCAGUCCAUGUUCAGCAAGAUAUGGAGCGCCUAAGUUAUUCCCUGACACCCAUUUCUUACCCAGAUUCCUUUACUAAACACCCCUUUGAUUUAGCGUUAGUAGUACAUUUGAUUUGAUGUCCAUAGUUUCUGCAUAUCCACAUCCAGCCAUCAUCGUGAUUCCCUUGUGCUGUAGUAUAUUGCAACUUCAGUGAAGUUCAAGUUUUGCCAUCAGUCUUGUUUUGUGAUGAUCAGCCCUUGGAGGUUGUAAAUCAGGUGCUUGUUUCAGACAUCUUGCAAGGCUGAACCGUCAACCCUGACAAGUCCAGCAAAUUACAGUAGCAAAUAUAUCCAAACACACUCCAUUGGUAUCUCACCAGUUUUGUCAAGACUGGCAGAGAGCAAGUGGGGAUUAUGAGCAAGGGGACAAACAACGGAUUAACUACCAACUGCGGUUACUCCAUCACUGCAAAACGCCAGAUAAAUACCAAGACAAGAACAUGUUGUCCUACUAUCCGCCUAGAGAUUCCUUCUUUAUCUUUCCAUCUCAAGUUUAUCAUCCCGUGAUGCAUCAAGAUGUGCACGUGAACCUCUCCAGCAAUGGCCUAUCCAGGCUUCUAGCUGUUUGUAUUUGUGCUCUGUGGCUCAAAUUUAUCCCUAGAGCCAAAGCGAUCGAUGGAUCUUGGUUCACGUGUCUCCAGCAAUGCUGAAUUAGUGAAUUUUCUAGUGGGUUUGGAAUCAUGCUUACUUGGUCCAUCUUUUGUUUGUUGUUGUUAAUGACAACACUUGUCCAUAUUCAUUUGCAGUGAACAUCCAUUUUUACUGUUCUUAUUAUAUUCUCAGCCAUGCCUAUUGCAUAUGCAUGAGCUGCAGCACUGGACGUACUGUAGUACAGAGUCUGAAAAUACAGUAGUAUCUAACAGAGGACAUGUCUGCUGAAACAAUGACUAGGAAAAGGAGAAUAUUUCAGCAAGCAUUCCAAACAACAAAAGAGCAGAAUACCCCCCUGCAAACAACAGGAUUCGUCGAAGGACGCAGAGAGAACGAACAGACUACUUCUCUUCCAAGUUAUUUAUACUUAUAUGCCAUGUUUAAUAAUGCUAAACUUGUCUCAAAUGAUAGGGCGCCCAAUGAAUGGCCUGCAUGCUGUUUUCAAAUGUUUUUGGGCAGAUGCCAAUUAGUAAAUUCAGUAUGACCUCAUUAGUAAUCUCUACAACUCUCACCCCUGCUGCCACAGAAAUAUAUCAAAUUUUUACAUAUCCUAGUUGGAUUUAAUGAGAACACUUGUCCGACUGAAUUGAUGAAUUUGGAUCCAUGCUUACUUGGUCCAUCAUUUUGCUUGUUUUGGGUGACUUGUCCGACUCAGGAACCUCCAUUUACACACUCCUUGUUAUCUUCUCAGCUAUGCUUACUACCCGCGUAAUGUAGCAUACUGAAACUACAGUUUAUACCAGAGCACAUGUCUGCUGAAAUGAAUUUGUAGGAACAAUGGCUAAAUAAGAAAUGCUACCCAUCAGCUAUUUGCAUACCAAUGGAGAAAAAUACUUCAAUUUCAGCAAACCUUUGGACCAGAAGACACUAACUGACAGGUAAACCCAAAGAGCACCCAUAUAAAUGUCUUAACAAACGAAAUGACAGCACUAUGAAUGUAACAGCAGACUAAGUAACACACUGCAAAAAGCCUAACUCAAAUAAAUGCUCAAAUUUAGCAAACACUAUGAUCAAUCAUGAACGGCUCAAAAUCAUACUGGUGCCUCAGCUCAAAGCUUCUGCUGGGUGAGAUCCCUCUCUUUUCAGUUUUAUUUGUUGGAUUUCUCUAAGUGCCUUCACUGGAUGGCAGGGCACCUAAUGGCCAGCAUGAUGUUUUCAAAUGUUUUCGGGCAGAUGCCAAUUGUACGAAACUAAGUUUCAGAAAGACAAAAAAUCAGUAUGAUCCCAUUAGUAAUCAAGGCCACUUUAGUAAUCUACGGAGAUCUAUGACUAUCAAGUUACUCUUCCUACUGCCAAAGAAAUAUGAGUGAACAACAAUUCUGUUUCAGGAAUCAGGACGUGUGCGCAUUAGUUUUCAGAAUGUUGUCAGCCCGCCAUGCAUGCCACUCAUGAAUUAGCUACAUGUAUGCUGUUCCCAACAUGCCUCAUUUUGUUUUAACUAUAAAUAGACAGAUGAUGGUGCCACUAAAAUCUUUCUUCAUCUUUCCCAAUCAAUUUUAGCAUCCCGUGAUGCUUCAAGAUGAGCACGUGGAUCUCCAACAAUGGCUUGUCCAUUUGUUCCCAGCUGUCUGUGCUUUGUGGGUUAAAUUUAUCCCUACAGCCAAAGUUAUCUAUCUAUAGAUGCAUGAGACAAGUGUUCAAUGGGCUGGCAAUGCUGGAUCUGCAGUGAAUAUGGAUUCAAGAUUAGUCAGCCCAUCUCUUGGCUGUUGUUAUAAUGAACACUCUGCUACCCAGACACCUCCAUUUUUACUGUUAUUAUUUUAUCUCAUCAGUUAUAUAUGCCUAUGCAUGAACCAUAGUAGAUGGUACUGAAACCCAGUACACAUGUAUGCAGAAAUGAAAAUUGCUCAAACAAUGGCUGAAUGAAAGAAGAAAUGCUACUCAUCAGCUACGGAAGGAAAACAUUUGGGCAAGCUUUUGAGCAGAAUAUUAUCCUCUUGAAUUUCCAAACAAGAGGUUUCAGUACCGCACCAUGACUCUAAUUGCAUGAAACAGAACACACUGACAGACAGACAGUAAAAAUUAAAGACAAGAGCACGAGAACACAUAUAAAGGUACCUAUAGAUGCAACAAAACAAGUUGAAUGGGCUGGCAAUACUGAAUUCACAGUAAAUUUGGAUUCAAGCUUAGCCAGUUCACCAUAAAUCUGUAUCUUAUUAGCUAUGCCUAUGCAGGAUCUGAAAACCAGAACACAUGUCUGCAGAAGUGAAAAUUGCUGAAACAAUGGCUAAAAUAAGAAAUGCUACUCAUCACCCAUUUGCAUACCAAAGGAAAGCAUUUCAACUUCAGCAAGCUUUCGAGCAGAAUAUUAUCCUCUUGCAUUUCCAACCAAAAGGGUUUCAGUACCACACCAUGACACUACUUACAUAAAACAGAGCACACUGACUGACAGGUAAAACUAAACAAGAGCACCCAUAUAAAGGUCUUCUUCACACUCUAGCAGGGCCUUAACGAAUGAAAUCGGCAAACAAAGCAUGAGAUAGGAAUAUAACAGUAGACGGACUGACUAUGUAACACGCUGCAAAAAGCCUCACCCAAAUGCUCAAGUUAAGCAAGCGCUCCGACCAAUCAUGAAUGGAUCAAAAUCAU